rnacentral:lncRNA from 1 species
GGGUGGAAGGUCUGAAGGGCUUGUUUUUUUAUUCCUGAAUUUUAUUUUGUUUUGUUUGCAAAAAAUAAUUUUACACUUUUGAAUAAUUUGUAAGCUCAAUAAAUUUUUAUGGAAUAAAUUAUAAAUGAUUCUGAUAUUAUAUUAAAAAAUAAAUUUUGCUUUCAUUAAUUUUAUGAAAGUAACUUAUAAAGUAAGGUAUGAAACUACUAAUAUAUUGUUAAUUUUAUCUCUAAUUUUUGCUAAACUUCACUUUUAAAGAAGACUGGGCUAAUUACCGCAUUUUGUUGCAUGACACUAUAACCUUGUCACAAUUAGUGGCAUGAGAAGACAAAAGGUCUCCAUGUUUGAGACUUGUAUAUUGAACUCUUUACCACAAACACCAUUGUAGAGACACAUUUUAUAAUUCACCUCCUUCAGUUUCCUCUAAAAUAUAUGUUGCAUCACAUACAAUAGUUAAUGCCAUCUUAAUGAAUUGUAGGCUUUUUUUUAAAAUUAACCUUUACAUUUUAUCACCUACUACCUAAUGGGUGAUAAACAACAUUUAAAUAAUCACUAGUACAAAAUGUAUAAACAACGAUUAUUUAUUUAAUACGAUUUUAGGGUUAGUUGUAAACUCGAUAAAUUUUUUUAAAUUAAUUUCAUUUACUAAUGUGCCUAUUUGUAAUAGCUGCAUUCUUAAAUCAAAACACAUGAUUUAUGAAUGCGACUAUUUAAAUAGUCGCAUUCUUAAUAGCCGCAUUCUUAAAUCAUUUUUUACCCUAAUUUUGAAGCGCGUCACUUACGCUUUUUCUUUGUUUAUGUUCUGGUGUUCCUCUCUUCAUGCGAGUUUCAUUGUGUUCUCGUACCAUUGUAAGUUCGUUUCAAUUCGCUCUCUUUCUUCUUCACCAAUGGUUUAUAAAUUUUUUUCAUUUCACUUAUUUGUUUGUUUUCUUGCAUUGGCGAAGGGUUCUUUGACGCUUCAUUUUCUCUUUUGUUUUUGCUCUCUCGUGCUUUCUCUCGUUUUCUACGAGCCUUCAUUGUCUUCUUUGUGCAAUUGUAAAUUCGUUUCGAGUUCUUUUUCUUCUUCACCAUUGGUUUAUAUAUAUUUUUUCGUUUCUCUUAUGUAUUUGUUUUCUUGUAUUGACACUGCUUCAUUGCCUGUUGUUUGGGUUAUUGUUAUGUCGUAUUUGCUCGGUUGUUGUUGCUGCCACCGCUAUUGCUGCCCUUAGGGUUUAGGGUUUUUAUUUUUAUUUUUUUAAAAUAAUUAAAUAAAAAUGCGGCUAUUUACCAUAGCCGCAUUUAUAAAUCGCAUUUACGAAUGUGGCUAAAUAGGCGCACUUGUAAAUCUCUUAUUUAAGAAUGCAUGCUGAUCAAGUGCGGCUAUAUAGCCGCGCUUAUAAAUGUAAAAUAGCCGCAUUCAUUUUGCCUUUCUGCACCAGUGAAGAUUAACUUAUACAAAAAAAAAAAAAAACCGUUAGUAUUCAAAAGUAUAGAUUUCAUGAACAUAUUAUUUUUAAGAAGAAUUUCCAUAAAAAAUUAUGUUAAUUUUUAGUAUCACUACAAGAAAAUCAUGAAAUAGAAAUCAAUUUUAUAGAUACAAAAUAAUUAAUUGUUAUAGUAACUAAAUUAGAGAUCAUUUUAGAGAUUAAAAAAUAUUUUGGUUUAUAAAUUAGUUUCUAUGCUAAAUAGUUUCUAAAUUGGUAUCUAAUUAACUAUCAAGAUUUUAACUACCAAUUUGGUAGCAAAAACUUUGGUAGCUAAUUAAAUACUAAUUUAGAAACCAUUUAACCAUAAUAGAAACUAAUUUAGAAAUCAAAAAAUUUUCUAGUCUCUAAAAUGGUUUAUAAUUUAAUUACUAUAACAAUUAAUUAUUUUUUGUCUCUAAAAUUUGAUUUUUAUUUUAUGAUUUUCUGUAUGGUGUAUAAAUAUCACCUAUGAAACAUUUCUACUUAAACCCUUGAGAUUUAUUUAUGUUUGUCAUGUAUUCUACAAUUACAUAUAUAUUUUACCUGUCAGCAAUAAUUUUUAAUUCAAUAAAUGAACGAUCUUCUAAUAUUAUUAAAUAAUGAAGAUCACAAUUUUAAAUUUAUUUUCCAAACCCAAUAAUAAAAAAAAUUAACUUGUGGAAAGUUAGCAAAAUUAAAAAUAAAUAAUUAUUAAAAAAAUUUAGUUACUAACUAUAUUAUAAAGUUAGAUAAUUUAUUACAUAUUAAUUUAUAAACUAUUUAUUAAUAAUAAAAACUAUUUUAAAUAUUAUUAAUGUGUGUAUUGUCUAAAAUAAUAUAUAAUUCGAUUAAUAUAAUUAGUUAGUUUAUAUUUAAUUAUUUUUUUUUGUAUAAUUAGUUAUUACAAAAAUUCAGUAUACUUAUUUUAAAUCGAUUUUCAUUGCUGAUACUUUGAUUACAUUUAUAUCCAUAGUAUUAAUUUCCUGUGGCAUUUUAUCAUAUUUUCAUAUCUUUACAGUUUAUGUUUUAUGAAAAAAAAUAUUAAAUAUAUUGUUAGUUUCUAACAAAAAUUGCUUUAGUUAGUCUUCUCUUCUAAAAAUAUAUACUGAUAGAGAAUAAUAAUAAUAAAUUAUCUGCAUAAUAUAAAGGGAAAAUUGAAAAAUAAUAAUUAAAAUAAGUAAAAUAAAAUAAAAAUAUAUUUAAGCUGAAAAUAUAAUAUAUUGUUAUUAUUUAUAGGACAAAAACAGCAUAAGGGGUCGUAUGAUGAUUUGAAUACGGACUAAAAUGUGGAGCAACCAACGGAGUCCUGGUCCACACAUUCAACGUCUUGUCUGUCAGAAGGGUCUUGCAUUCUAUAGCUCUAUCCUUGUGACAAGACUAUUCGUUAAAAUUGCACUAUCAUUAUACAUUAGGCUAUAUAUUUUUGUUUUUCAAAAAUUGAAAUUUGAAUUUAUAUAAGGGUGCAUUUAAACAUAUUGGGGGUGCAGAAUGCAGAGCCCCUGUGAAAAAUGAUGGGUCUUGGAAGGCCCGUGAUAUUAGAAAAGAAAGGCCAAGUGGGAUGGGAAAAAGUGAGAAAGGCGUGUUUGGUAAGUUGGGUUGUAAUUAAAGAAAUGCAUGUGGUGAAUUGGUAUUUAUUUGAAUGAUAAGGAAAAGAUAGAGUGAGAAUGUGGGGGCAUAAAGAUUGGUGUUGGAAUGAUUGUGAAAGGAAAAUAAGAUUGUUUGGAUAUUGGGAAGCAGUAGGGACGGAAGGUUUGAAGGUGAUGGGUGUAAUUGGUAAGGGACACAAGGUAAGCUCACAAACCCAACUUCCUUCCAAACUUUCUCCUUUUUCCUUUCGAAUCAUCAAUUUUUCCUUUGCCAAAACUUUCUAAUCCCGAACCACCUUUCACUUCACACUUUUCAAAUUAUUCUUUUCCCUUAACUACAUCCUUCUUCUACUUAAUUAUGCUCAAUUCCUAAACCCUAACUUCACAUCUUCUUUCAACAAUAACAAUCACUCAACAUGCUCAAUUAUUUCAUUCCAACUCUAUAACUGCACUGCUGAAUAUAUCAGUACUGGGAAAGAAAUUAUCAACUCUUGUUAAUUAUACCACUUCAGUUUGGUUUACAUUAUAUAUUCGCAAACACAUAGAAAUUAAAGGAGAAAUUUGUGUCAAGAUGGCAUCCUUCACUAACAUGUGUUUCCAAGAGUUAUGCUAAUUAACAGGUGUUUUCAAACAUACUUUUUAAGGAAUUCUAAAAAAAAUUGUCUUUUUAUUGAAUUUCACACUGGAGUUCAAUUCAAUGUAACAAUAAAAGUAUAUUCCAAUAACAGACCUUCAAAAAUUUUAAUCUUUAAUUUCUUGACUAGAGUAUAUUGACAUUCUCCUUUACUCGAAUUGAAAAUUCUUCUCUAUAAAGUUUUGAAUAUAUUAUUUUAUUUUAUAUAUGUUAUUGAUUAUCGAACUUUCAUGUUGCUUUUGGUCUGCUCUACCUAGCUGUACAAAGCAAUGAUACUUUCGUAUGUAAAUAUUCACAUCAUAUAUAUAAUUUAUCCUUAAGAACAGUUAUUAUUUAAUAAUAAUAUAAUAACGUAAAAUUAAUAAAAUUUCUCUAAUGGAGAAAAAUUAAUAACCCUCACAACGACGGAGCUUAAGAUGAUGUUAUUUUCACACAUAAUUUUUGUAUAUUUUUGUUCAUGUCAUUUGACUUAUUGCUAUGAUUAUUGGCUGCAGAAUUAGAACUUUAUAACUGACGUUUUUCCCGGAAGUAUAGUAAACCAUUUCUCUUUGAUUGUGUUAGCUAUGCGUGUUCAUUUCUCUUGAAAAGUGGUUAUAAUUAGCGAAGAUGAUGAGUGUGUGUUGCAUAGAAAGAAAGCAUGAGAUGUGGGAUGAAAUUAAUGAGGAUAUUAGAUGAAGUGAUGGUACGUAGUUGGUGAAGUGAAAAAAAGGCAUGGGUGGUUGUGGUGUGAGUUGGAGGAAGAAUAGGGUGAUUUGACGGGCAUGGAGGUUUUGGGAAGAGAUGGGAAAUGAAUGAUGGAAGGGAUAAUAUAGACAGUAUCCGUUAAGGUAGGAGAGAUACGGGUAUCUUAUCUCAUCUCAUCUCAUCUCAUGCAAUGCAAUGCAAUAACCAAAACUUGCACCAAAGGAUUACAUUACAUUACAUUGUGUGGACCACAGUGGAAGCACGCAGCUUUAACUGAUGCUCAAGACCCCCAAAACAAGCAAAGCAUCUUAAACGUGUAAUAGGUAAUGCCCAGGCUUUGGACUACUUAAGAAGCAAGCUGUCCAUAAAAGCAUAAUAUCCUGCUACUAUUAUUCAAACAUCUACACUUUCAUUCUUUCAAUUACCAACCUUACAAACUACCACACUUCUCCAUCUUUCCCCAACUAAUCAACCAGGUCCCCCUUUUACCAUGCACAUUAAACCUCAUCCAUAAACCUACAAACAACCCUCACUUUACAUUCAUCAACCACCUUCUAUAUCUACACUUCUACUCUUACUUCACCUUUUUAAGUACCAAACACAUUCUUAAAUGCAACACCUUCAACCAUCAUUCUUACACGUCACUCAGAUUCUACUCAUACUAAUAGAUUCUCUCCCCCAUCUCUCUCUAAACCUCACUCAUGCUUCACUACAACUCUCAUACCUGCUAGCUGCACCAAUAAAUAAAUAAAUCAACCUCCUGUCCCUAUUUAACUAUUUAUUCUCUGUGUUUAUUUAUAGUUUCUUCAUACAAAGCAAAAAUAUCCUUUUCCAACUCGAAAAACAGAGAUAAUACGGAAGGAAAUUAAAGUCACAGAAAAACUGUCAUGCAUUUCUGAAUUUACAUUUACCCCACUUCAGAAUUUGAGUUUUACAGCAUUUCUUCCCAGCAUAAAAGAGAACAUAACAAAAUAAUUCCUCUCAAACUUCAGAUAACUCACAUGCAAUAAAAUAAAAAAAUUAAUUACAACAGUCCCUUUCCACGCUCAGACCCAGGUCAUGAUGAAGAAAGACCCAACCACCAAUAGAAACAAAACUGGUUCCCACUCAACCUCUUCCCCCUCCACAGUGAAUUGAUCAUAUAACAUCUUAAGAAAGUGUUACUGAUUUCUAGCUCGUUUGAGAAAACAACGUCCAAAGAAAUUCAACACAGUGCCGUACAAACAGUCCAAGGGUUACAAACUACUCACAACUAUUCAUCUUACUUCCGAACUAAUGUAUAUUAUCCUUGCAGAGAUUAAGCAAGUCGAACACUGUUAAGAAAGUCAAGAAAUUAAGCUAAAGAAAAUUGAAAAUGCACGAGGGGGAAGCUGAAAUGAGGCACAAACUAGGACGAAGAUUUUUGUCGCUUUUUUCAGUGCGCGGUGUUAGCGAAAGACAUGAAAAACGGAAAAUGCAGGUGGGUGAGAACGCGUACAUUGAUACUACCGAGGAAGUUCCUGCUUCCUAGUUCCAACAACUGUCUUAGGAUAGAGUUAUCAUAACAUUAUAGACAAACAAAACAGAUGUCAUCUUAAUCAAUUAACCCUUCUCGUCACCUAUAUAUAUAUCUGAUAUCAUCAUCACCAUCCACCAGAAAAAAAAGGUUCCAAACGCGUCACCACCACCACCAUUGUAACAAACUGCAAAAGAAUUCUAACACUAGAACGACAUCAUAAAAAGACUGAUUUUUUGAACUGAACAGAAAAUUAAAUUAGUCCAUGGGCAUCAGCAAUAAUAACUUGAUCUAAUUAACUUACCUACCUCCUCAAACACUAACACAAUAAGAAGAGAAAGAAACCCUAACAAUUUGGGUGGGUGGGUGAGUGAGCUUAAGGGUUGAAGAAGUUUGAACAUCGGAAUUUGCGCACUUUACUAGGGCUUCUUACCGAGAGUGUGCUUGUUGUUAUGCAUCCAAACCUUGAGAACGUGACGCUUCACCCCGGUUUCGUUGCAGAAAGCUUGGACCACACCCUCGUCGUGUUUCUGAAUCCUCCACCCUAGUUUUUCAGCAAGUUCAAGCAUUUUGUCCUUUUGCUCCUGCGUGAACUUUGUUCUGAACCGUUUCUUGGACCCCGUUCCUCCUGCACUCGGGUUCGAAACGUCCUCCUGGUCCUCCCGAGUGCUCUGCGUCCCGCCGCCGCCGGACGUCGACGGCAGCGCUAGCGUCCCAGUCACGCGUGCCUGCCCCCCCACCUGAAGGUACCCAGUCGGGGUCCGGUAGUACGCCGCGAACUGCGGCGGCGGAGGGUGGUGCAGGUGGUGGUGCGAAACCAAGAACGGGUCGACACCGCCGACGGAGGCGCCGGCCCCGUCGCUCUCCUUGCGGUGAAAGUUGCGGUGGCAGCUGCAGGCGGCACAUUUGAGGGCGUCGAGGGAACCCUCCGUCCCCGCCGCCAUGAACUCGCCGCAGCCGUCGAGCGCGUGGCCCCCGAUGCCGACAGCGUGGUCUUGAGACACUCUCUGUAGCGCGCCCUCCCGGAGCCACCGUUGGUGCUGGUUCUGACUGGCUGCGCCGCCAUGACGGCCUCCGGGCCGAGCGGAAGCUUCAUCCGGGUGGGGUCGAAAGCUGCGGCACUCAUACACUGCUCCUCCUCUUGGUCCUCUUGAUCCUCGAAUUCCAUUUUGCAAAAUUGGCGAAAAUCUUAAACUUAUGAGUCCUAUUAAUGACAAGUGAUGGGAAAAUCUAAAAGGGGGUCUCAGUACUCUUCUCGCAGUGUUUCUCUCUCUUUGUUCUCUGCUCUCGUCGUGCUUUCUUUGUCCAAAGGUGUAUUCCUUCAUAUACUUUUGCGGUUCUCUGUUUUGGGAGGACACGACAAUUACAGCAUAAUAUACAAAACUCUCUCUCUCGAUUUGUCUUAAGAUCAUCACCUUCCACCGGCUGUUCCGGUCACUCCGUAAUUUGUUCCGUUUUCGUUUUUCACCGCGAUAUUUUUUCACUUUGCCUCACUCUAGUACUACUCUCAUCACUCCAGGACAACUGACAAAAGGGAUCAAUUUUACUUCAAUAAUAUAUCUCAGUUUUUAAUGCAAAUCUUUAUGAUACAGAACCACCACUCUCCAAGCAUAUGUGAACCUCUUUUCCAGUUUUCUUUUUCUCUAUGCACCAUUUUAUAUUACUCAUUUCAUACAAAAUUCAAAUCCACUCCAUAUCUUUUUCAUUUUCCUAGUAUUCAUAACAAGCUGGUCGUAAAAUUAUUAAUAUAACACACUUCUGUGUUUCUUUGCAUAUGGAAGCGAAAAUCAAUUGUGUGAAUAAGUGGGUUUGUUUUGGUAUAAGGUUAUUAACACAACACAUUUCUAUGUGUUUCUUCGCAUAUGAAGUGGAAAUUCAAUUAUAUGGGAUCCACUAUUUUUUAUAUUUUCUUCUUUAUUUCAUUGGUACUAAAUAACAUAGGCUUCAGUCACUUUUCGCAUUUUCAUUUCCUCCUUUUCGUUUCUUCACCAUAAGAAGUGGAAGACAACAAUAAUCUCAAAGAGUGGGUGUAUUGGUGUAUUAUGUUACAAGUGAAUAAUUAAAACAUUUCUACAUAUUCCUUUACAUAUGAGAGUGGAAAUUCAAUUGUGUGGGGACUACUAUUUUUGUUAUGUCUUUCUUCUUUAUAUCACUGCUAUUAAACAACAUAAGCUUACUUUUUCCAUCUCUUGUUUUUUUUUCCUUCUCUUUUUUUCACAAGAGGAAAACAACAACAAACUUAUAUUUUUUACAUCCACCAUAUUUAUUUAAAUGAUGCCAAACAACAUAAAGUUUUUUUCGCUAUAAAAAGAUUCUGAUAGUGACAAUUUUAAGGAUAAUGUUAGCUUCUUUGAUGAGGUUAAUAAAUUUAAACAUUUUUAUGUAGUCCUUUCCUAUAUAAGGUGGAAAAUCAAUUAGGUGAGAAUUAGGUGAGAUCUAUUUGUUAGAUAUUUUACAUCUAUUAUACAUAAUAACAAUUUGGAAACAAUAUUUUUUAUAUUUUUUUCUCUUUAUUUUCUAGUUAGAGAUGAUGUUUUUGUAGAUGGAUAAGGGUACGUAGAUGUUGUGCUUGCAUGUCUCAUGAUGUUUGAUUUACAACUCAUAAUGCGAGUGCUAGGUUAAAGAAUGAUGUUGUUUUUAUAAGGGUUGAGGUGUAUCUGAAAUACCUUCAUUUUUAUUUAUUCUUUUUUUAAGAUAAAAAAUUAUUUUUUGCUCUUUAUUUUCUUAUUACUAAACAACGCAAGCACAUAGUCACUUCUUUGCAUUAUAAUCCACUUUUUUCAUUUCCUUUUUAUGUAGUUACUUCUUUGUAUUUUCAUCCACUUUUUUUCAUUUCCAUUUCAUAAGUGGAUGAUGGUACUAACAAGUUGAAGGAGGAGCUUACUUUGAUAUAAGGUUAAUAAAUUAAUGCAUUCUUUUAUGUUUUUUUCACUUUGCAUAAGAGAGUAAUAUUCAAUGCAAAAUCCACAAUUUUGUUAUAUCUUUCUUUUGUUUCAUUGUUACUAAACAACAUAUGUUUUGUUACUUGUUCACAUUUCAUUCCCUUCUUUUGGCUUACAUCAUGAGAAUAAAAAGACCACGAGAAAUUGAAAGAAUAAGGCUCGUUUGAAAAACGAGCAAUUCACAUUUCUACACAUUUUGCAUAUCAAAGUGAAAAUUCAGUAUUCUUUCAUAUCUUGCCUUUUAGUUUCACUUUUAAUAAACGGCACAAGUUUCAAUUUUUUUUUAUUUUUGGCAUAUUCAUCCCUUCUCAUUUUCUUUUCAUAAAAAGAGGAAGGCGAUGACAAACAUAAUAGACAUUGUUAUUCUGAUACAAAAUAACAAAUAAACACAUUUUUUUUUUACAUUUUUAUCUCUCUUUCUCAAUCUUUAAGAACGAUAAAGAGAUUCAUCCGUUUAAAAUUUAUGGACUACUAUUUCUAACUCGUUUUGCAUAAUUGUGACAUGGGAAAUAGACCUGUGCUUCUUAAAACAAUUAUGGUAAUAAAUAAAAAAUAAAAAAUAAGUCAAAAAUAAUUAAUUGAAUGAAAAAUAGAAAAAAAAUAGUAUUGUACAGAUAAUAAUAAUAAUAAUAGAAGUAAAAAGUAAUCGAAAUAAGAAAAGUUGGAGACAGACGAAAAUCAUGCGACGCGCUUGAGCAGAUGGCAUGAGAAGCACUGAAACUGAGUGCACGCAUUCCGGUGGGUGAAACGAGUGACGUGGUAUGGAAGUGGUGGAAGGGGGCGCGUGGGCGGCGCGUGUAGUUAGGGGAGCUGAAGAAAAUUGGUUUGUUGUUCCCACAUAGGAGGGAUAAGUGAGGGCGGGGCCAGGAGGAGUGGAGUGGGUGUAGGGUUAUAGGUAGGAGGAAGCACCAUUGUACCUUUGCACACACUUAGAUUGGAUAAUAUUUUACUUUUUAUUUUAAUUUUUUGUUCCUACUUUUUCUAAUCCCUACCUUUCUUUUAUUUCUUAGACUUAAAAUUAAAGUCUACAUCUAUGAUUUUUGCAAAGAACAAACAGAAUUUGAGUGAUAGGUACUAGGGUAGUAGUGGUAGAAUGAGUGAUCACCAUUAUUAUUAUUAUUAAUAUUUUUAUUAUUAUUAUUACAUAAGAAAAUAAAAAUGUAUGUUGUCAGCAUCAAAGGCAGCUGUUGCUACGUGCGGUCUUCUCCGACAUGGGUCACGAGCGUUUGGCGUCAUCAUGCACUUACUUCGCUAAACUAAUUCAAAACAAGUCAAUACUCAAGAACUACGUUGCUUAAAAUAACCUCCUUUCACGUAUCAAUUCAUUUUAAUACAUGUACUCUUCUUUUAGCAAUUACUUUAUAACAAGCUUUUAUGGAAAAUUUGUUUGUAAGACAUAAUUAAAUCAUUUUUUAUAAAUAAAAUAAUAAUUUAUACAUGAAUUUAAAAAAAUAACAAAUUCAAAAUAUAAUACAAGUUAAGUUCUACACAUUAGUUUAUGAUUAAACUAAUUUUGAAGAACUUUAUUUUACUUUUUAUUCUUGUUUUAAUCUUUUUUUUUAAGUUAUGAGUCUGCGCAUUGUUCAUUUUCUGAUUGGUAUAUAGAUCCGUUGAUUUAUAUGAUGAUAAUCUCAUGAUAUAUUCCUUUAAGUUGUAUGAUUGUUUGUCUUAAGUGACUUUCUUUAAGUUAAGCUAGCAGAAUUCUAUAUAAACAUACGUGAGAGUUCGUGUAUAAGGGUUGAACCACUAUAAAGUAGUUCAUAUUUAUUCAUUUGUUAUUAUCGAUAAAAAAAAUAAAAGAUAAUUUAAUAUUAAAUAUAAUUGUAAUAUGCUUACAUUUCCCAUAUUUUAAAAUUAAAUUUAGCAGUACUUUAUAAACCUUCUUUAAUUUUAAUUCAUUGAAUUAAUUCUUGUAUUUUAAUUUAUAGAAAUUAUAAUAGUCACAAAAUACCAAAAUUGUAAUAUAGUUCUUCUUUUAAGUGAGAAACUUUAAAAACAUAAUAAUUACAAAAAUAUAUAUUCUAGAUCGGUUAGAUUAAAACUUACCUUUUUACAUUAAUUAUUAGUAGACAUUGAAACUUUGAUUUUUUACCAAAAUAACGCAUAUAUUAAUUUAUCAAUCAUUAUAAAAUAUCAAAAUAAAUAAUGUAAAAAAAUUAUAUUAUAAUAAAAUGCUAUUAUUUAUUUAAGUGACUUAAAUAUCGUUGACAUAGUGUGAUUAAUAAAAUUAAGAUAUAGUGGAUUGUGAUAUCCUGAAUACUUUUAAUUCUAUCAAAUCACGAAUGCAUUUUACCUUUCCCAGCUUCCAACUUCUUACUUUUGAAUAUUUAACUUGCUUGAUACGAUAUUGUUUUGUUCAAGACACAAGAAAAGAAGAAAAUUGAAGAGAAAUGAGUUUGGGAUUUUGAUAGUAUCAUUUUGAGAUGCAGGAAGCAAACAAUGAGUGAGCAUGUCUUGACCUUGUGAAAAAUAACCAGCCAUUGUCUUCCCCAAUCUCUAGGAAAGCACAACCAACCUUACUCAAACAUAACCAAACACGCAUCAUUGUUUUUCCUACACAAUCAUGUUUUUUUUUUUCAGAAUAAUUUUUUUUAAUUUUUUGGAAGCUAGGGAAGAAGAUUAUAUGGUUGAUUUGUGAUUGUCCAAAAAUAUCACUAUUAUUCAAAUCAAAAUACAAAAGAAAAAAAAAAGAGAUAAAAGAUGAAAUUAUGUUUGUUUGCUGAUAUUUAAUAAUAUUUUUUUUAUCAAUAAUAAAUAAAUAAAUAGAAGAUUUUCACUAUAAUUAAUAAUUAAGAUUCUAGAAUCACGUAAAGAAGUUUGAGAUUAUUUGAAAGAAGAAUACGAUGGGAAAAAAAUAAGAAUUGAGAUAUGAGAGCAUUAUAAGAAAUUUUGAAUUGAAUGCGAUGAAAGAGUUAAAGAAAAAUAAAAAAUACUCAAAUAAAUUGUUAGGUAUUAUUAACCGGAUAAAAUUUUGGUAAUGGGGUUGGAGAAUUAUGAAACAUUUAUUACUUCGUUAGAAAACACAAAUAAUUUGUCAACAAUUACUUUGAUAGAAUUGAUACAUUUGUUGCAAGCACAAAAGCAACAAAGAUUAAUAAGAGGAGUCUCUACCAUUACCAUUGAGGGUAAGAUAAAAGUUUUUUCGCAAUCAAGAACUACAAAAGGAGUAAAUACAACAAAAACAAAAGACAUAAAUUUUUCAUCUUGUUCCUACUCCAAAAAAAAUCACCAACAUAACAAAUGUUAAUGAACGCCAAUUGUAAAAUGCUAAGUUGGGAUAUGUGGAAAAUAUAUGCAAAUCCCAAUAUUCAUAAGAAAAUGUUAAGAUUGUAAAGGAAUAGUGAAUUAGAAGACGAACUACUUCUUGCAUUGCAACUGCAUUUGUUACAACCAACAAAUCUAGAAAACAUUGGCUUAUAGAUAGUGGUCUUUACAAAACACAUGACCUAUAAUGAAUAACUUUUGAAAGAGCUUAAUAAAUCAUAUAUUUCUAAAGUAAGAUUUGUGAAUGGAAAAUAACUUAUUGUCGAAGGUAUAUAGAAUUGCAAUUAAAAAUCAUUUAAUUGUCAACUUAAUUUUUGAUAUCUUAUAAAUAAUCGAGAUUAAUCAAAAUUUGUUAAGUGUUGCUAAACAAGGUUAUAAGGAGUACUUUGAAAACAAAAUUUUUGCUUUGAAUUUGAUGAAAAAUGAGUUUGUUACAAAUAAAGAAAAUAUAAAAAAAAGGUCAAAAUAAAAAGAAGAUGAAUAUUUUUUGAAAAAAAUUCAUGUCCAAUAGAAAGUAUACGAAGAACCACAUUCUAACGUCCAUCAAAAGUACAACAUGAAAUUAGUAAUAGACAAAGAAGAUGAGAUUGAUGAAAGAAGAAUUACAAUUUCAAAAUGAAUAAAAAAAAUAUAUAAGAACUAUGAAUAAAAAAGAGAAUAUAUGUCAAACAUUAAAAAAAAUGAUAAUAAAAUUUAAAAUUCAAAUAAAUAAAUAUUAAGAAAAUAAUAAAUAUUGAAAACAUUUACUUAAUAUAUUUCAUUGUUUUUCACAAAAAAGAUAUUAAUUUUUUAAGAUAAAAAUAUACUUGAUAAUAUUUUAAUAUUUAAUAUUCCGUUAAAUAAAAUAAAUCACAAAUUUCUCCAUCUAACAUUUCUCUAUUUUCAAAAUGUCAACAAUUUUUCCUCUUUCAUAGAAUUUAGUUUUUAUUUUAUUAUUCUUUAAUUUUAAUUAAAAGAUUUAGUGUUUUUAUUAGAUUUAUUUAAAAAAAAAGCGACUAAAUAGUCAUUAUUGUCCCGGUAGGACUACUUAUAAGAUGGGUUUUCAACCAAAUUCUUCCUCUCUAUCUUUUAUAUACACCUGCUUUUUAAUUGCACGCCCAUUUAACUUAAAUAACAGAUAAGCUUCUUUUCUCAUAACUUAAUACAUUCUUUUCGUUUUUUCCUCUGUCCUUAUGAGCUUACUUUUCUUUACAUUUUUACUGGUUUCAGUAUAUUACGCGAAGCAUUCAACUAACAGUUAAAUUAGGUAAAUCCGUUAGUAAUAAUCGAUCAUGCUUAAGAAAUAAAUUCAACAGCGUCUAUUACAUCGUACAAAAAAGUUGAUUAAUGGAUUAAUUAAACAAUAAAAAUAAUAAUUAGAAUUAAAAUCGUUAAUAUUUACCCGUGUAUAAUGUUUUGACCUGGGGGGCUGUAACCGAAACUGUCAUGCUUGAAGCUGCUGCUGCUGCUUAUGUCUCGACACAUGAACCUUUUUCAAAUUUAACUACAACGAACAGUACAAAAUUAUUAGAAACUUUUUCGAGUGAAGGAUUUUUUAAAAGUUAUAUAUAAAUAAUUUCCUCAUUAAUUUUAGUACUGUAGAAGUAAGAGUAAUAAAUUAAAAAAUAAAAUGUCUUCUUUCAAUCUUACUUUUGUUUGAUUGGGAUGACAUGACAGGGAAGUGAGUUUGAUGAAAAUUUUGAGGGCCAAUUAUCAAAUUCAAGUAUUAUCUAUUUUAUAGGUCUGUAUUUUGUUAUAAUUUUAUUUUAAAAAAAUAUUUUAGUGAGUUAGAGGAGAGAUGAGUAUAUACAUUAUAGAAAAUAUUGAUGAUAGUCUUUAAAAAAACUCACUAAAUAAUAAUUAGAGUGAAUUUAAUUUUUCUUAAGAUUAACAUUAAUAUUUUUAUAGUGAUAAAUAAUGUACUGCCGGAGAAAAAAAAAUGUGAAGGCAGUUAAUAUUAAAAGGAAUAUGAUGAAUAAAAAAAAAGUAGGAUUGAGAGGAAAGUUACGUCAACAUCAGAUAGAUUUGAUGAAAGAUGAGGAAAUAUAAGCCAUAAUGCAUGUGUUAACUAAAAAUAAGUUGAAGAUGCAUAAUAACAUAUAUAACAUAACAUAGCAAAACAAAGAAGAGAAGAUACGGAUCCCACCCAAAAUUAUUGUGUGUACUCUAGACAGAUCUCUGACUUGUCUAUUUUGGUUGAAAUUUAUUUUGAUGUUUUUGUAUAGAUUGAGAGGAGAUAAAAAGAUAAUAUUUGAUUGAUUUGGUAUUAUCCAUUUUUGUAAUUUUGUUGAUAAGAAAAGGUGAAGUGGGCAGUCUAAUCACAUAAAAAUGUGGGAACGGCCCCCAAUAAUUGAUGCAGAAAGGUCCUUGAUCACCACUCUUUAUUACUUUCAUUCUCCUCUCAACUCACAACUCACGCUAAUUGCAUCCCUUGUCGUUUCGUAUAAUCGCAAACUAGUUAAAAUAGCCAAGCAUUUCAACUUUCAAUUCAUUGAGUCAGACACACUUUAGCCAAAACAAGAUAAACGAAUAAAGCAUCCAACCAUCCUUCAUAUUUUACAACAUCCCAAACUACUUUCUUCUAAUCCUCUUACAACACCCUAAUCACUAACCCCUUCAAAACCCAACCUCCUUUGCUCCAUUUCCUUAUAAGGAAAACCCAUCCUUAACAACAUUUUUUUUCAUCAAUUUCAAAUUAAGACGAAAAAGGGUUUGGGUGGGAAGUUAGAGGCAUUGGUGAAGUGGUAGAUGGACUUCAUCAUGUGAUGCUCCAAAAACAGCCAAAACGGACGGAUAGACGUCUGAUGGGACCUUCUGACACACGCACACAGAGAGUACUCAAUCUCUUUGUCGUGUCGUGUAUGGGUGUUUCACAUUUUUUUUUAUUUUCAUUUUAAUUAAAUAUGUCAACAUAUUAUUGUUUUUCACUUCAUUUAACAUGUAUUACGCUGCAGAUUUGCAUUUUUAUUUUUCAAACGAAUCAUCAUUGCAUGAUAAUAACCAUUAGAGUGUAUAUAUUGUUUAUUUCUUAAAUAAAAAUGAUGGUUUGAUUGGUAUGCUCAGCGUUGCUGUUGUUUACUGAUAUAAUAUAUAUAUAUAUAUAUUUUUUGUUGUGUCAGCUGGCGGGAAACCGCAGAUAGAACAAGACAGAAUGAGAAACAAUAAACUUUUUAUGUGUACUGUGUUGUGUCACCUACCACAACCAUGAACCAAACCAAACCAACAACACAUGCACCACUCUCUCUCUCCGUUGAGUGAUGGCACAAGCCCUUUCUCCCCGUUGAGGUAGAAUGAUGAAGAAAAUAAGAACGGGACGGAAAAGUUGUGCUGUGCCCGUUGAGGUAGCUCCAGGGUGAGAGUGAGAGAGAGAGAAAGAGGGAAUUGCGGGGAAAAGGGAAGUGGAUAGUGACAAGACAAGAAAAAGAAUGGGACGACCGUGAUUUGCAUUUCUAUAUUCUCUUGCAGCUUUUCUCUCUCUCUCUCUCUCUCUUACACAGUACGUACUAAUAACACAAACACACACACUCACACACAUUCAUACACACACAUACGUAUACACUGAAAACUGUGGCCCCCAUACUUGAACAGAACCCCCAGCUUGCUUGUCGCACCACCAUCACCUCCAUCCAUUCAUUCACCAACAAUUCACCUUUUUCUUCGCUUUUUCUCUGCCGUUUCUACUGUUUCUUUCUAUGCUUGCAUAUCAAGUGUAAUCACCUUGCAUUUUUUAAUUCCUAAUAUAUAUAAAUGAGUGUUUGAAAGUCAGAUAUGAUUCUUCUUCCAGUGAGCUUGGCUCACUACGCAAACACACAGUCCUGAACACACAUGUUCUUUCCUUUUCCCCUCUGCAUCUUUUUCACGAAUUUGGGUUUUCUAUCCUAUACAUAUGUCCGCAAGCAAACCAGAAAAAACACUCCUCAGAAGUUAAGAAUCAUCAUGCACAUCACUCCCAUCUCAUCUCGUCUCGUCAUUGCACACCCAUCAUUAGGACCACUUCUUUUAUUUUAUGUCUCUAAUUCACAGAAACAAAGACUAAUCUAAUCAUCUUAAUCUUUUGCUUUCACCCACCAUCUACUCUUAAUCUCGCAUCACCUCAGGCUAACAAAAAAUAUACACUUGAUUCUUCCAUUAACUCCAACAAGGCUAAGCAUCGUCAUUCUAUUUUAUAAGGAUUUCAGUUCAGAUUGCCAAUGUAAAGACUUUGUUAAUAGUGAUUUCAAAACCACUUUUAUAUCAAGUAUGUUUUAACCCUAAUUAAUAAACACUAAAACAACAUUGCUUUAUAAUUCUAUCUUUUAACUAAGUAAUCUAUUAUCUAAAUUUCAACAAUGUUAUUUUAAGUAUGGAAAAAAUCCUGAAAAUAUAAUAUAUAAGUUUGUGCACUGAUGGCCCUUAAUUGCAUUAAAAAACUGCAAACAUCAUUAAAUGAACCACUAAAUUCUAAUACUAUCAGGCUAAAUUUUUCUAGUAAAAAGAGUUGGUUCUAUUAACUAUUCUCUCCUAAGUUCAAAUUCUAAUGUAUGCAAUUUAUCAUAAUUUUUAGAAUUUAUUACAUAAAUAUCCCUUCAGAUUUACCUUAAUUACACAUGCAUCCUUUUAUUUUCAGAAACAUACCAAUGACACUCCUCCCCUGACGAAGUUAAUGGUAUAACGAUCUUAAAAUUAAAAUUAAAUAUAUUUUGAGUUCAUUAUUGUGAAAGUCCUAAAUUGUUCUUCAAUUAAGUUAGAUAGAAAGUUGUGGAUCCCUCAUUUUGUAAAGUCUCUAGUUUGGAUUUUGAUUUUUCUCUCUCAACUUCAUUUACCUUUGAAUGUUUCUCAUGGAUUUAAGUCUGCAAUUUUACACAGAUUUGGGUUUGAACACCUAGUGUUCAUUAUAUACAAAAAAAAAUUAAAAUGUUGAUAAAAAGAAAACACCGAUUAAUAAGGGAAUUGAUGUUUGUGUUUUUCGUUUUCUAUUCUUUUGUAUAUAAGAGUUGAAACAUAACUAAAAUGUUUAAUUUAAUUUAAUUUAUUCUUGUUUGAUAAAAAAAAUAACUGAUUUAUUAGUUUAUUUAAGAAUUGAUGUAGUAGGACAAAUUAUAUUGGUUUCUUAGGUGUAGUAUAUGUGUUUUUAGGUUAGUUUACAACUAUAUGUUCUCUUCAGUUUCCUUCUUUGUGUUGUAUUUUUUUGUCAUCCUUUAUAAAUUCUUUUUUUUUUACACUUCAAGUCUUUAUAAAAAAAUGUACAUUAAUAUAUUUAGGUAUUACAUAUGUUUAUAAAACUGUGAUUUUUUAUGUUAGAAAUAUAUAUUACAUAGAAAUGUAUAUAUUGUAAAAUAGACUAUACAAAUAUAUAUUUAUUUGUUGAUACAAACUAUUUGUUUCUGUAUCUAGAUAAUAAUAAAUAUAUUUUUUCAGUUGACUUAGAGAUUUGCUUAUUGUAAUUGAAAGAUACUCUUUUUUUCUGAUUUUUUGGGAUUAUGCAAAAAAAAAUUAUAAUCUGAAUAAAGAUUGUAACUAGUACCUGUGCAACACACAAACUUUUACAAAAGUCUUAAUUUUAAAUUAUAAUAUUAUAAAAAUAUAAUUUUUUGGAUAUUAUAUUAAAUCUGGUAUUACAAAAUACAAAUAUAAGUCCUUCAAUUAUUAAGAAUAUAAGAUAGUUAGAAGAAAUAAAAAUUUUAUGUAAAAAGGAUAAUUGAAAUUAAUAAAUAUGAAAUUGACAAAAUUUUAAAAAAUGAGAUGAGACAUGGUAAAUAUUAAUAUUUUUGGGUUAAUUAUCUUAUUUUUAAUGUCAAUCACGUGAAAAUACGAAGUCAACACAAUCUUAAUAAGACAUCAAGUUACAACAGACAAAAUAUAAACUUAUAUGAGAGAAUGAAAAUGAGAUAACGUAUGUUUGUUUGAGUUAGGAGUGAUAAUACGGGUUAGUCGCAUUGGUCUAUCUCGCAUUUAACCCACAAAAUAUGGAUCGGGUUGAUCCAUUUCACAAAAGUGACACAAACUGAAUUUGUUGGUCUAUACUGUAUAAGAAUUUUAUUUAUUUCAAUUUUUUAUUACAUAGUACAUUAAACAAUUUAAUAUUUAUACUUAUUUAAGAUUUUGAAUAAUUUAGAAAUUUUAUGUAUUUUAACUUUUUAUUGAAAUAGUUCAUUAAAUAAUUUAGAAUUUUUCUUUAGAGUUGAUGGUUGAAGUAUUUUGAAAUGUUUAAUAUUUAUUUAUUAAUUACUAAUAAAAAAAAUAUUUAUUUGUUGCCUUCUUUUAAAGUGGUACAAUAUUAGAAUAAAGUGUUCAUUUUCUUAAAUGGCUUGAUUUUUUAAAGAAAAGUGGACAUACAAGAACAAAUUUCUUAAAGCCUUACUAGAGUAAAUUGCUCUAAGAUUUUCCAAAAGAAACUUAUUUGACAAUACCGUAAUACAAAAAGGAGAGGUAGCAACAAUUAAUGCGCAGAUAACGACCAUAUUCUGCAAGAGAUUUUAAUAAACUAAAGACAAUAAAAAUUAUGAAAUAUGACAAAAUCAGCCUCGUGUCCUUCUUUCAUAAUUCGAUCUACAUGUUUUGUACCAUUCACUAUUAUGGUAGGCAUUAUAGAUAUAAACAUGAGACAUAUGUUGGAAAUCCUAAAUAUACUAUGAAUAAAACCAAGCCAAAUUGUAAUAUAUUUAAAAACAUAUUUAAAAACUACAGGUCUUAAUAUUAAAAAAAAUAAACAAGAGUUUAAUAUAUGAUUAUUCAUUUGUAAUAAAGAUAUAUAUUUUUUUUUUAAGAAGUGAAGUUUAAAUAUAACUCAAUCUUAUAAAAAUUAGUUUGUAAGUUGAAAUUUGUAGUUAUUUAUAUUUUAUAAAUUAAUUUUAUCUUAUCUCUAUUUAAUAUGAGAUUUUCACAUCAUUCUCACAUUGAAACUGUUAACUCAUUCAUGAGACUAGAUAUUUAUGAGUAGUCCAGUAUUUAGUAGUGAAUAAUACCAUAUAUUUAAUAAACUCUCGUUAUAAUAAACUUUAAAUAAAUCUAAUAUAAAUUUAGAAGUGAAUUUUAAACAUAAUUUAACUUAUGUUGAAUUGUGUAAAAUAAAAUUUACACUAAUUUAUAUAGUAUAAAUUGUUCUUAUCUCUCCAACAACUUUAUUUUAUUUCUUUUUCUUUUUUAGAGAUACUUUUAUUAGGUAUUAUUAUUUGAUUCCAUCUCACAUGUCUAUUUUUGUGUGAUAUUAUUGUAAAAAAUGUAUAAAAUUGAUUUCAUGUGUUGUUUUAUUUUGAAGAAAUUGUAAAGAAAAGAAUGGUGCUAUAUUUGGGGUGACAGGGUGAAAUGGUUGCUCCACUUGCAUCCAGCUUGCACCAAAAUGGAAGAUACCCAGUGACUCUUCACCUGUUCUUGCGUGUCCUCACCCAUCCCUCAAUGCAUCAUGACCACCAUGUGUCAAUUUAUGACAAUCGCAUCAUCAUGUCCCUAAAUUCUUAAAUAUAUGCUUAUCUAGAUUCCAUUUCCUUUUAUUUUUUCCCCACAUUUUCUUAUAUUUCUACCAAUAUACCAUGCUGACAUCCUUUUGAUUUUCCAUAAAUAACGAAUUACAAAAAAUAGGAACACUAAAACUAUAAUUAAAUCUUAUAUUUAUGACUCAAUUUUGGUUUAGGUUUUGAAUUAAGUGAAAAAAAAUGUACCAAAUAGAUUAGUUUUUAGACUGUGUUGGCCGAAUUCAAACCCAAUCAACAAACAUUCGGUUGAUUGAAUUUAAUUUAAUUCAUUGAGCUUAAAAACACUAUUGUUUCUGACAUUUUUUUAAUUUCUAUUGGUAUGCUAUUUUUCAUUCUAGUCCUUUUUUCUAUUGGUAUUCCAAUUUAAUUCAAUUUAAUAUUCUUUGUUAAAGUGGAGUAGAAAAGCAAUAAGAAAAAAAAGGUUAAAAGGUCAAAACAAAAAGCAAAUAUCGUGUCCCUUAAGACAUCAGUAUAUAUAUAUAUAUAUAUAUAUAUAUAUAUAUAUAUAUAUAUAUAUAUUAACUCAGUGAGAUUGCAGUCCACUAUUUCACCAUGUUAUUCUUAAUUAAAUCUAUUUACUUAAAUUUUACUCAAUUAUUUUAAUCUUAGUCUUUAGUUCAAAUUUAGGAGAAACUGAAGUUUGUUUAGUAGUAUUAGUAUUUUCUAAACUAGUUAUUACUUUAUGAUUAAAUUACACUUCUAAUCUUGUAAUUUUGGACCACUCUCUUUUUAAUACAAUUUUUAAAACUUAUAACCGGGAAUGGCUUAAAACCUAAAAUUUAAUUUGUUUAAGAUUUGGCCUAUAACAUUUCUAAGGUUCUUUAAGUAAUCAGUUUAUGGUUGGGUAUCUCUCAAAUGCCAUCAGUUUAUGUUUGUAUUUUUUAUUUGUAAACUAAAUCACUAUCUUCACCACCAUUGCAAUAAAAUCAUUACAACAAUUAAUUUAAAAAGAUAAUAAUAAUUAAGUUUAAUACUUUCUAUAAAUUAAAAAAGUUAAUGUUAUUUAAAAUAAUUUUUAUUAUAAAUACAAAUUAAUAAAAUAAUUUAUAAAUUUAUAUAUGAAAUUAUUUAUAAAUAUUUUAAUUAUUAAUUACUUUAGAUUCUAAAUUAGUCUUGUGAUUAAUUUAAAAAUUAAAAUACUUAGUAACUAAAAUCUUGUUAAUUAAUAUUAGAUAACAAUUUAAAAAUUAUUUUAUAAAAUUUUAUUAAUGAUAUAAACUAUUUUAGAUACUAAUAAUUUUUUAAUUUUAAAAAAUAAUAUUUAAUUUAAUAAAUAAUAUUUAAUUAAGAAAUAUUAAUUAUUUUUUGUUUUUAAAAUGUAGUGAAAUUAGAUCUGUGUUUUUUCAUUAGAAGUCUAACUUUUUUAUAUGGUAAAAAACUAAUAAAUUCUAUCAUUAUUAAUGGUGAAAAAUCUAUUUUGUCGGAUAAUAAAAAUGAAGGGAUAUACUUUUUAAUAAAAAAAUAACGGAAACAAAUUAUUUAAAUCAAAACUCUAUUUUAUAUUUAUAAAACUAAUGUGAUCAUUAAAAAUUAAAAUGAAAUAGAAAACAGUUUUUUUAGUUUAACAUAGUAUGUCACAAAUUUAAUUUUAAUUUAAAUAUCAAUGGGAAUUAAUCAAAUUUAAGAUAUAAUAUUUGAAAUGUAUGAAAAAUAUAAUUAAAAAUUAAAUGAAAUACUCUAACUCACUUAAUCUGCCUACUUAAUCCAUUAAUAUUGUCAUACAUGUUCAAAUCAAUUUAUAGUUUUAUAAAUUUAGAAAAGAUAAAUUUAUAUACAUAAUACAAAAAAUAAGUAAUAGAAAAUUAUUAGAUAGAAAUCAAUUUUGGAGACUAAAAAUAAUUAUUUAUUAUAUUGACUAAAUUAUAUACUAUUUUAGAGAAAAAAAAUUAUUUGUUUCUAAAUUACUUUCUAUUAUUGAUAAAUAGUUUCUAAAUCGGUAUCAAAUUAGCUACCAAUAUUUUAACUACCACAAGUUUUAAUUACCAAUUAUUUAAAUUCUAAACUUUGUAGCAAAAAAAUUUGUGACUAAUUAGAUAUCAAUUUAAAAACUAUUUAUUAAUAAUAGAAACUAAUUUAGAAAUUAAUAACUUUUUAGUCUCUAAAAUAAUAUCUAAUUUAGACAAUAUAUCAAUUAAUUAUUUUUUAUCUAUAAAAUUAGUUUUUAUUUAAAAGAUUUACUAGUAGUGAUGGAAAUGAGUUGAAAAUUUUAAUAUGUGUAUAUAUAAUUUUAGGUGAUCUUUAACAAUUUAACUUGUGAAUCCAUUUAAAAAAAAAAAAAAACUUGUGAAUCCAUUUCUAAAAGUGAUGAGUUACAUUUUUCAUCCUAUAUUUACAUGCUGUUAACCUAAUCCUGCUUGACACGAAUUUAGAGCAUGUUAACUCUAAUCGAUUUUCUUUGUAUUUGAUAAUUUAUUUAUAUAUUUGACUAAAAUAUAUUCCAAUCAAAAUUUCGAGAAUGAAUAAAAAAUUAUUCUUUUAAUUAAUUUCUUAAUGUGAUUAUUUUAAAUUGAUUCCUUUAAAAUUUUUGAAAAAAAGCUAACAAUAUUAGGACUUAGUUGAAUGUAUUUUAUUUUUUAGACUAUUUUGUCAAACAAUUUUACACUACAUCUUUGAAAAGAAAAGAAAAAUUGCUUGACUAAAAAUAGACUUUUAUUUUUGUUCAACUAACUCGUACCACUACCCCACUUCAUAAAAUAAUUGCAUAUAAUUAUUUUAAAACCAUGUGAUUAUUUACCCAACUCAUCCCCAGACACGAAGAGAAAUAACCGGGAAAAAGUGUAAAAGGGAUUUAUUUGUGGUAACUGCCACUUUCAAAUGUUAUUAGAUUCUGAAAACGAUUUCAGAAAAUCAAAUAAAAUAAAUAAAUAAAAGCUAACACCACCAAAUGCAAUAAACCAAGAGAUUUUUUUUUUUAAGUAUUAUUAAUAUAGUCCCACAUCAAUUAAGAAUUGAAGUAAAAAACAAUUUAUAUAUACUUUUUACUCAUGUCAAAUACCUUUUAAAAACAUGAACAAAAUUUUCAUAGGUCUUAUUAGAAAAAAAAGAGACACACGUAUAUAUUUUGAAUGGUGUAAUGUUUGAUGUAUUAUAUAGGAAUAUUGAAGUAAUGGGCCCUGAAAUGAUAGCAAGUUUAGACAUAGAAUAGGGAGGCUAAAACUGGAGACAUAUAUAAUAUAAUGGCCUACAAAGUUAAGGUUGAUAGAGCACACCGACAUCACUCACCACGAACUUGUUACAAAUUUCGUAGGGAAGCAAAGUACCGAAUCAUUUGGAGGAAGAAGUUUGAGAAGAAAAGCAAUGAUUUAAUGGAACAGUGGAAUUGCAUACUUUUGGGUAUCACAAUGCCAAAAUAAACUGGUUUAAAUGGUUGUGCCCACUGUUCUGUACGAUAAAACACUAUCACACUGUUCCACUUCAAAUCAGAUACUAUCCCAUACAUGCUACAGAGCUACACUUAUAUUUCCUUCGUUACUUGGGAAUUUAAUUUACAGUCAACGGAGGAUGAUUUUGAGUUGAAGUUAUGAAGAGCAUGCAAAAAGGAAUAGUACUAUUCUGGACAACAAGUAGUAGGGGUGCUAAAAUAAUUUUUACACCAUUAACUUAAACCCAUUCCAAAGCAACGUCAGAGGUAAUGAUUCAUAGACCCAUUUCAUGAAUUGAGUUUGUUUUUAUCCACUAAUAUUGUUGAAUAGUAAGUAGGAGGUGAAGCUAAAUUUUGUUUGAAUUAUGUUUUUGGGCAGUUGAGAAUGAGCUUAAAUGGUUACUUUGCAUGCUUUUCCUAAAAUAAUUGCUUUGCUUUGGUUCCACUUUUUGCUUGCAGCUUUAAUUUCACCUAAAGAUGGAACUGUAAUAAAGCGUAAUCUUACGAAAUGACAUUCCCGCGUGCAAAUCAAAUAUAUAAGUGGGUCAUCUACACUUGCUUUAUGCACAGUUAACUUGAUUCCUAGAUUAAGACAUUCACUGUUUAUACUUAUAUCACAUUUCAUAACUCCCAUUCAAAAAGUAAACAACAUCAUUUACACAGCACUUCAUUCACUUAAACCAUAAAUUCUUUUAAGACAUUACUCACUAUCAACUUUCCUUUCAUGCUUUACAUCUGUUAUAAACUACAUGUUAGAAAUUUCAUGUUUCUCAUCUCUUAAUCUUUUAUAUAGAUUUUAUAGCAUCAUGAGUUCGAUAAUACAUAUAAUUAGGUCAUCUACCUAUAUUCAUAUCAGACAAUAAUGUAUUAGCACAAAUCAAAAGAUCUUGAGUAAAUGGUAAUAUCAAAACCCAAAACAAAAGAAAUAUGAUGAAUGUAUAUAUAUAACAGAGAAUACACUAAAGAAAAAACACAUCACUUACUAAUCGAGAUUGAGAGUCCAUUCACUCUUAACAACACUAAAUAUUUUAGGUUUGAGAUCGCCGAUACUCUUAUCUGAAACAGUUUUAUUUAUAAUUUUUAAAUAGCCUUCGAGAAGUAUGAUUUAACUUAAUUAUUGACUUUAACGAAGGUGUCUCCAUUGUGGUGAAUCCUAUACACUUUUCUUCUUUCAUUUCUGCCUUUAGUAUGAUAAGAAAAUGAGUUUGGGGUUGAAUUAAAAAUGGAAGAAAGCAUGGAUUACGGGCCUGUGAAUUAAUCUAAGGCCAUAGUAGAUUGUGGUCCACCUGAGGUAUAGGCCAGGACCCAAUUUCUUGAGAUAAUAAAUUUGUAUUAAGCUUGAAAGACACAUCACCACCAAGCCCUAAACACCGGCCUAUAGAUACAUGUGUUUUUUCCACUGAGAGAGAGAAGCACUUCAAUUUUCAAACACCACCAACAUUUAUUUAGGUAAGAAAAUUGAUUAGAGGAUUAAACCGGGCGUGUAGGAGGGGAAACAAAGGAAAAAGAAACAAGUAAUGAUUAGUGAGUGCCCCACUAGGGAAAUUUUGAAGGAUUCACUCUUAAUUAAACGUCUUUUUCACAUUGAGAACUAAUUAUAUUUAUACAUAGUUGUAGAAAAUUAAGAAAAAUAUUGUUUUACUUUCAACUUUGCCUCUCUGUUCUCCAUUAUUUACAUGUGAGAAGAAGAUAGCUGUAUACCAUUGGAAUUUGGACGAGGAAAGACUUGAAUGAAUGUAUAAAUUCUUGUACUAAUUGGAAUCGAACAAAUUAUGGUUAGUAUUUGAUGAGUCAUGUUAAUUGAUUUUAGUAAUCGAUCGACUGAAUGAAUCUUCAUUCAAAGUAGUUACGAUAAACAGUUUAAGACAGUUGUAAGAAUUUUUUAAGAAUUUAGAAUACAUUCUACCAAAUUCAGAUAACACUCCUGUAAAUCAAGAACUUUUCUAAAAAAUGAGCUAAUGCUAAAAUAUGAUAAAUUUGACUCAUUACAACAAACUACAAAUGUGUAAGGUACGAUUUUAAUACCUUCUUAAUUUAUAUUUCGUAUACUAAGUACUUACUUGAUUGUUUGAAUAUUUUUUUCAGAUCAAUAUACAAGACUUAGAAUAAAAAAUAAGAAAACAACCUAACAACCAACUCGUUAACAAUUCAACAACCAAUUUCAGAUAUUAUUUAAAUUUAUUUUAUCUAUACAAUUCUUAAUAGCUAUAUCUAACUUUUUUUUUUUUUUGGAUCUCUUGACCUUGAUCAACAAGUUUUACAACCUUUGGAAUCAUCGAGACCUAGAUUGAAAACAAAAACAAUGAAUAGGACGAUGAAGAUUAUGUCAUCUCCUUCGAAAUACCAAAAACAUUUUCUGAGACUAUAGCGUUCGAGUGAGUGUAGUUUAUUUGGAAUAAUUUUUCUUAAAAUUGGGUUAGACAAGUCAAUUUGAAAUUGAACUAUAACUUUUCUAGCUCAAUUUAUCCCUUACCAGAUUAAGGGUCAAAAAAACCCUGCAUAUGGAUCAAUAAUAUUUUUACAGCCUACACAGAAUGGAUCCAUCAUUUCUUACACUAUAAAAAAUAAAUAUUAUUAAUAUAAAUUACCUUUUAUAUGAUAAGAUAAUAAAAUAAUUUCACUUAAUUAAGUUUUAAGUUAUUAUAAAUUUAGACAUCUUUAAUUAAUUUUUAAUUACAAAUUUUCGUUCUAUUGAAUAUUAAAAGUAUUUUUUUGUUUUUAUUUAAAUAUUUUUUCAUUUAAUUAUGUUGCCAACUAGAUAAUAUAACGGUUACUUCCGUCUUCUCGUUUCUAAAAAUAAAUAAGUGAUUGCGUGACGACAAAAAUUAAGAAAUAAGAUACUUAGACAAAAAAUGAAAAAAAUAUUUUAAACACUUAAUUAAUAUAUAUAUAUAUAUAUUAAAUUAAAAUACUUAAAUUUAUAAGAUACUGAAAAUUUAAUUAAAUAUAUAUUUUUAAUGUUGUGCAGAGGUGUCUAUUCUUUUAUUUUUUUUUCAAUAAUAAUAUAAAUAAUCGCCAAAAUAUUUAUCAGACAUUAAAUAAUGAUUAAUGUAUUAAUGGUGGUACUUGUAUAUAGUAAAAGAUCUAUUUUAUUAGUGAGAACUUAAAUCAUCUUUAAAAUUAUUUUUUCAAUUCUGCUUUAAUCUUUCAAUAACUUUUACCUAUUAUCGCUAAAAAAAUUUAAAAAAUGAAAAGAUUUAACAAAAGAUUAAAUAUUAUCUUAUGAAAUAAAUUUUAUAAAAUUUAGUUAAAUUUAAUUUUUUUAAUAUGAUAUAAAGUUAUUAUAUAGUAGUGUUUGCUGGAAGUUGAAACUUGUGUCAUCCAUUACUAAAUUCUCCUAAUUUAAUGUGAGAUGUCCAAUACUAAAUGUAAAAGUGUAUUGAUCUAUUAUAUUUAUUUUAUAGAAUAACUCCAAUAAAUUGAUUGAACCUCAAAAUAUUAUGUACAACUAUUUAUUUAUUUCUCAUAAUAUUUAAUAUUAAUGAAUAACUCAAUACCCAUUGUGACACCAUCCUAUGAAUCGUGUGAAUGAAACCCAGCAGAGUUUCAAGAUUAUUGCCAUCUGCAACAAAGAAGAAACAAAUCAAAUCUCAAAAUUCAAUGAAAUUGUACGCUUAACCAAUACUAAUUAAAUGGUAACAAUGAACAAAAUUACUAAUUAAAGUAUGAGAUACCACUAAUCAAGUUUUGAAUUCGUAUGAACUUCACGGUGGUAAAUCACUACAUGAUCCUGAAAUGCUUCCAACAAUGAAACUUUGAUGAAGAUCGAGUGAUGAUUUAUUUAUAUGAGAUUUUCUAAAUCUCAAAUAAGAGUUUAAAGAGAUAUGAGAGGGAUUAAAUGAGUACAAAUGUAUUGAGUUGAAUUGAGUAAUUUCUGAAAUUAUAUUUAUAAGUUUUUGGUGUUGUUAAAAUAUAAAAUAUUUAAUUAAUUUAUAUAUGUUGUCGAAUAUCAAGUCAAUUUCAACAUAGAAGUUAGUUUUUAAAGGUGUCCUAUUUAUUCAGACAUGGAGGUACUUAAUGUCUAUUAUUGCAAGUGAAUAUUAUAUUCUUAGUAUUUUUUUAUACUGGAUAUCUCUAAUAUGGAUAUUAUAUUCUUAUUAUUUUUUAAUUUUGGAUAGUACACAUAUUUUACUUUAAUAAAAAAUAUCAUAACAUCUAAGUUAAAAUAACUCCACAAAAUUUAACAAAAUCAUAUAUCGAUAAAUGAAAAAAUGUAUAAAAAAAAUAAAAAAAUAUGAGAGAAACCAAACUCAUAUAAAAGAAACAAACAAUAAUCCAAAAUAAAAGACUAUACAAAUUUAAAGUCUAAGCUCGUGUUUGGAUUGGGGGGUGGCACUGUAGUCACAGACGAAAGUGGGGUGUCACCCCGUUUGGAUCUGUUGAUGGUGGAGGGUGUGGGUGAGGGUGAGGGGAAAGUUGGGCCGAAUGAGAGAGCAUUCAGAAGUGAAGAGAAAGGAGAGGGAGAGGGAGUGAGUGUCAAGUAGGAUGAGUGCAAUGUCAUUUGUGCCUUCACUAGAUUUUUUGACGUAUUUGGACAUUGGACAUGAAGCAUGCAUGCGCAUAACACUGUGAAGAGAAGCUUUUCAGCAAGCACAGGAGAUUCCUGACCAUUGUUCAGGAUUCUCUUUGACCAACUUCAAAGCUCAAUGAAUGCAUAGCCAAGUUGGUGAGAGAGUGGAUGAGCGUAAUAAAGAGGUGCAGCAGUAUAUAUGUGGUUCCCAACCUCACAAACCUCACACAGUUGAGGCAAUUCAGUUCUUCACAAAGCACAUACCUAGAGAGCUUGGAGAUGGUCAUGAGUAAGCAUAGUGAUAGGAGAUUGCACUUGGUUCUUUGUUUGUGACCUCAGGUGAGCUGUGUGUGAGUUUAUUUUCAUUAUUAACUGAUUAUCACUGAAAAUGAACGUAUGCCAUAAUCGAUUAUGUGAAAAAAAAAGAGUUGAUAAUUGAUGAAUAUAUAUUUAUUCACACACAAUAGCCUUAAUCAUAGAUUAUUGGACUAUAAUAAUAAAUAAAUUCAUUGUUUUAAUUAAUAUUCAUAUAAUUGGUAAUUAAUAUUAUCUUUGGUAAUUUUGUGUUUUUAGGGUAAAUUAUCUGAAGCAUCUACCUUUGUGAAUGAGCCAAACAUGCAAAAGUCCAAGUUGCUUAUUUGAAUAAAAACAAAAAAACAAAUUCUGAGGAGAAGAAAGAGAAAAUAAAAGCUACAAGAUUCCAGAAACAGAAUUGGAAGCAAAUCUUCUGUAAAAUAAAAAGAAUUAUGGAAAGUGGAAACUGUUUAGAAAAUCUUAAGUGCAAUAUUUUCCCAAGAUCCUUGGAGCAGAAAAGUCUAUAAAAGGACACAAGCAUGAAGGAGAAAGGGAGAGAGCUUCAUAGGGUUUUCUUAGUUUCUUUUCUUCUUUGUAAUUCUUUUGUUUUGCCUCCGCAUGGAAGGUUAAACCUUUUUGGUUGAUUCUUUUGUAAUUCCCCAUUAAGUUCUGAGGUUUUUAUUCAAUAAAAGUUUCAUUUUUCAAUUUUUUAUAACAAUUGUUUUUAUUGUCUAAUCUUCUGGAAAACUAGUUUUUGUGAGAGGUUGUACUUGAACGCAUGAUUGAGAGUCUUCCUUAUCUUAAACUUUGGUUUCUUAGUUAGUUCUCAUUGUUCUAAUUAAUUUCUUGGCGCAUGAUUCAAGAGAGAGGAUAUAAGCAUUCCUAUGGAGUAUACGCAUGGAACAAAAUGUCUAUUGAUUAAACCAGUAGACGCAUGCUUUACUGGUGAGUUUCAGUUGAAUCAGAUCGGCGCAUGUUCAAUCUGGUUUAGCUCUGUUGGAGGAUUGAAAAAAUAUUAAUCUUUAGAGAACCUGUGAAGAAUUCAAUGGUGGAAGAACUUGGGAUCAACCACUUUUUUAUUUUCUAUUUCAAUCUUUUUUAUAUUUUUCUUGUAGAUAGAUUUUGAAUUCGGUUAACUGAAUCACUAUUGGAUUCGUUGGGAGACAACUUAGGGUCAUCUCUCUGGUGUUAGACAACUCUACGCUAGAUUCAUAUUAAUUUGACAGCAAAACGACAACUAUAAAUAAUCGAGCAUAAACAUUUGGAUAAUCGAUUAUGAUUUUAAUUUCCCAGAUUUUUUAUUUUCUGUUUUUUGAAGUAAUUUUUGCAUGAUUUUUUUGGAUUGUGUUUUUUUUUUAAAUUGUGUUUGGAUGUUUAGUUUUAUUUUGAAUUUAAUUUGUUUAAAUUAUUUUAAAGUACUUGUUAAUUAGUUUUUGUUAAUUAGUUUUUAAUUUUAGAUGUGAAUGUUUAGGAAAAUUGAUUAUCUAAGAUUUAUAUUGUUAAUGUAAAAAUUUCAUGAAAUUUAAAUAUAGAAUUUUUGUAACAUGAAUUGAAUUGAAUUUAUAGAUUGAAAUUAGAGAUCUAAAUCUGUUAUUUUAAAAUAUUGUUAUUAAAAAAAUUAUAAAAAUUGUUACAGUAAUUUAAAACAGAAAAAUCAAAUAUACAGAAGAUUUUUUUAACAUUGUUAAAUAAAUUUAUGAAUGUAUACAUAGUAAUUUUUUUUUUAACUUUGAAGCUGUUAAUAAAAUAAUUUUUUUGAUUUAAACUUACAGAAUAGACUAUUUUUUAGAAAUUAUUAUUUUUACAGAAUGUAAAUAUAAUUUUUAAAACAAAUAUUGUAUUAAUUAAAAAAACAGAAAAAGAUUACAUAAUAAAUUAGAAUUUUUAAUAAUAUGUGUACAUAGUUACUAUUUUUUGAACAUUUAAUUCUUUAUAAAAAAAUAUAUUUAUUUAUUUGAAAUGAUUAUUUUUACUUAAUGGAAAUAAAAAUUUUGAAUGCUAUAUUUUAUAAUUUUGGACAUUUUACAUACACAUAUCAUAAAAUACAUAUAAUUUAUUUGUCAUAGUUUACAUAAAUUGUUAAUGUUAUUAUAAAAAAAUUAAAAUAAAUAUUGUAGUAAUUAAAAAGAACAGAAAAAGAUUACAUAAUAAAUUCAAUUUUUUAAUAAUAUAUGCAGAUAUUUAAUAUUUUUUAACAUUUAAUACUUUAUAAAAAAACAUUUAUUUAUUUGAAAUUAUUAUUUUUACAGAAUGUAAAUAUAAAUUUUUAAUGUUAUUUUUUAAAACAAAUAUUGUAUUAAUUAAAAAACAGAAAAAGAUUACAUAAUAAAUUAGAAUUUUUAAUAAUAUGUGUACAUAGUUAUUAUUUUUUGAACAUUUAAUUCUUUAUAAAGAAAUAUAUUUAUUUAUUUGAAAUGAUUAUUUUUACAUAAUGUAAAUAGAAAUUUUGAAUGCUAUAUUUUAUAUUUUUUUUGAUAUUUUACAUACAUUGUCAUAGUUUACAUAAAUGGUUAAUGUUAUUAUGAAAAAAUUAAAACAAAUAUUGUAGUAAUUAAAAAGAACAGAAAAAGAUUACAGAUUUUUUAAUAAAUUCGAUUUUUUAAUAAUAUGCGUAGAUAGUUAAUAUUUUUUUAACAUUUAAUGCUUCAUAAAAAAACAUUUAUUUUAUAAUUCAUUUUAAUUUUAUAUUAAUUUUUAAGUUAUAAUUGAAACUUACAAUUAUUUUAAUUAUCAAAAUUAUGUACAAAAUUAAUAAUUUUUUUUAUACAUAUGGAUAAAAGUAUACUUUAUUAUAUAUAACAUAAAGUAAUUGAAAUUAAAUAAUAUAAUAUUAAUUAUUUUAAUUAAUUUAAAUAUUCUUUAAACUAAUUAAUAUUUCAUUUUUCCCAUUUAUAUAUAUAGAAGAAUAAAUUUAUAAUCUUACCAUUUACACUAUUCAAAAUAUAUUAAAAUACUUUCACAACUAUCACAUCAUUCACACUUUUCAAUAAACUUUCUUUACACAUCCACUCUAACAUCCCUCAAUCCAAACAUCCUCAACUUUCAACUUUCUCCACACUUUUUUCAUAUUUUCACUCCCACACCCUCAACUUUCCACUCACGAGUUGAUAAGUGUUACAACAAAAUAUAAACUAAUGUAAAACACUAAACCAAAUAAAUAUAUUUUCAAUCCUAAUAUUCACAAUGUUAUGACCUUCACUUUUAUAUAUAUAUAUACUACAAGAAAAUCAUCAAAUAGAAACUAAUUUUUAGAGAUCAAAAUAAUUAGUUGAAAUAGUAACUAAAUUGGAGACCAUUUUAAAAACUAAAAAAAAUUGAUUUCUAAAUUAGUAACUAAUUAUUUUUUGUCUCUAAAAUUGGUUUUUAUUUCAUAAUUUUUUUAUAGUAAUAUAUAUAUAUAUAUAUAUAUAUAUAUAUAUAAUCACAAAUUUAUUUGAGUCAUCUAUCUUAAAGAACUUAAUAAAAAGUUUGAGGACUCAAAAAAUUUAACAAAUAAAAAGUAGAAUCACACUUCUACCCAAUACAAGAAAAUUAUUAAUUAAAAACUAGUUUAAGAUAAAAAAAUAAUUAGUGAUUAUAUUACUAAAAUAAAUAUUAUUUUAUAGACUAAAAAAUUAUUGAUAUCUAAAGUAGUUUUUAUUAUUAUAAAAAAUUAUAAAUUAAUUUUUAAAUUGGUAUCUAAUUAUUUAAUUAAUUUAAUUAGCUAACAUUUUUAGAACCUAAAAUAGUUGAUAACUAAUUAGAUACCAAUUUUAGAAUUUAAAGUAAUUGAUAGCUAAUUAGAUACUAAUUUAAAAUCUAGUUUAUAAAUUUUUAUUAAUAAUAAAAACUACUUUAAAUAUUAAUAAUAUUUUAAUCUAUAAAAUAAUAUUUAAUUUAAUCAAUAUAUAAUUAAUUAUUUUUAAUUAUAAAAUUAUUUUAUUUAAUAAUUAUACUGUAUUGACCAUAUACAUGUAAAUCUAAAGUGAAUAAAUAGAAUAGUAACUACAAACUCUGCAUAUGAAGAUUUAUUAAUAUUAAAAUAAAAAGUGGAACUUUUAAUAUAUUCUUCAUUGUUUCCUCUAAAAGUCACUAUAAUAUAAUCAAGACAAUCUCUAACAUUACCAUCACUAUUGACAAAUAAAUUAACUUAUUAGUAAUUAGUUCGUCAAUUUAAUAACUAUAUAUAGAAGAGAGAAAAGUAAAAUUUCAUUUAAGAGUGGAGUUGAUUGUAGAAAUUAAAUUACGUAUAAAGUUAAGGGAGGGAUAUCUAUUAUUUUUUAAUAUGAAUUGUAAUUUUAACUUGAGAUCUUCCUGUCUAGUUAAGUAAUUAAUAAGUAGAAAGCUUUAUUAAAAAAUAUAUUGAAGUUGUAUUAGAAAUUUUAGAAAAGUGGAUCCAAGUAAAUAACUUUCACUUUUAAAUUUUUUUACUAGGUAUUUUUCUGUAAUUUAUAUAUUUAAUCUCUUGCAAACGUAACAACUAUGAUUGAAUUGAAGUUUGAAAAACAUUUUUCUGAAUUUUAUGAUUAUAUGGUAAUGUCACAUUCGAGGAUUACAUAAAAUAACGUAACGUGCAACAUGAAACACGAUUGUUCUAACACAACUUUCAUCCAUUCAAUUUAUUUCUUAUAUAAAUAAUUUUAAAAUUAAAAUUAAUAAAAUUUCAUGGUUACCUAACAUUUGUCUAGUUUGUCUGAAAAAAAAUGUCCAACAAUAAAUUAAACUGGGCAAAAUAUAAUCUGUCCAUUGAAAUUCUUAAAAUAUUAAAUACAGAUUUUUGUAUUAUUUUGUCACUCUAAACUUUUGAACUUUAAAGAUAUAUAUUUUAGGUGUUUCAAAAAUUUAUACAUAUUGAUCUUUAAUGGUAAUAACACUAGAUGGAAAAAAAUUGUACAGAUGAUGGUCUUAAUAGUGUUGAUUAUUAUAUUUAAUAAAAAAAGUGUGAUAAAGUUGUCAUGUAUAUAAGUUUAUUUUUGUCGUUAGUACUAAUGAAAUCUAAAAGGUAUGUUUAAAUUUCAAAGGAAUCAAAAUAAUAUAAUUUUUUAUAAAAGUAUUUAGUGUAAUUAAAUUUUAAUAUCUCGAUUAGAGAUUAAGAUAUUUCAUUUUAUAGUAUAUAAGCGGGUGUAACUUCAUAAGCUGAUUUGGUUUAAACUUAAAGUUCACUUUUUAAUAUGAUAUAAGAUCCAUUUAAAGUCGAACUUAACUAGAGAUUUUGUUAGUCUUACCAAACCAUCUACUAUCGGAUCGUUAUUGGAUCAUAUAUAAAUAUAUAGUCUCAUACACAAACAGUCACUCUCCGCGUGAGAAAAUGUGUUAGAAAAUUCACAUAGAUUAAGUGCAAACAUUACCUUAUAAGUCGAUUUAAGUGCAAAAAUUACCUUGUAAGUCGAUUUUAUGAGUUAGAUUUGAAAUUAUUUUUCAAUAUUCAUAUAAAUUAUUUUUUUAAGAAUUAAUAUUAAACAAGCAGUAAAAAAAUAAUUAUUAUAAAAAUAUUAAAAAUAACCAUUUAUCUAAAAAUAUAUAAACUAAAAACACUCUUUUCGCAAGAAUAAAUAUGACAGACAAUGCCAUUAUUAGAAUUUAGAACACACAUGAAGGGGUUGGAGAAUAAUUUAUUAACGUCUGGAGCAGCAGCACCUAGAAGCAUUAAAUAUUCAUAAUUAUUUGUAGUAACAACUAUUUUUAAUUUUAUUGUUCUUUGAUUAUUAUUCCACUACAACAGAAUUGAUAACCGAUAACAGUUUUAAAACUUACUUAGCAACUGUUAAAACUAUGGUCAUAAAACUACAUAGUGAAUUUGUAGGCUAUGAUGAGUUUAUAUGUCUAUUUGUUGGUUGCGGCUCAACCCAACAUGUAAAUUCGUUUUUGAGCUAAACUCGAUUUGGUGAACUUGAUAUUAAGCACGUAAAAUAAAAUAAAAUAAAAAGCACCAUACUAUUAAAAUCACAAAUGAUAAUAGAAUGUUAAAAAAAAAUGUUAACUCUUAGUAAUUAACAAAUAGGUUGAGAAUCAUGUUGCCCCAACAGGAAGAAAAUGUUCUGUAGGAAGUGUAAGAGAAAAAAAAAAAUAAUGUAACAUGAAUACUUUUUUUGUGUUGUUAAAUUUAAAUGAAAAUCACAGGAACUUAUAUGUAAUCGAGAACUAUGUUUAAUCAAUUAUCUUUUUUAAACCUAUUAUUUGAUUACUUAUUUUUAAAAUUUAUCUCAAUUUAUUACAAGAAAAAUAUUAUAAUAAGUUAUUUAUAAAUAUUUUCAUCCAUAUAAUUUUGCACUUUAUAUGCAUAUAAAUGAUUUCAAGUUAACUAUUAAUAAUAAAUUAGUUGUAUUAUAAAUAAAAAACAUUAUAGUAUAUUUAUUUUCAAUUUAAUUUUUAUAAAUAAUUUAAUUCUUAUGUUUUUAAAAUAAAAUAGCUUUUUUUUUCAAAAAAAAAGGUUCUUAUACUGAUAAUCAUUUAAAUUAAAAUCUGUUUCUUGUUUGAUUCUUUUGAAAAUAUCAGUCAUGCCAAUGUGAUAAUAUCCAAAUUUUAUAUAAUUUUUCAGUUAUAUGUUUUUUUCUAGUUAUAAUUGUUUUGUAAGUUUUUUUUAUUUAUUUCAGAAACUAAUAAAAUUUAUUUUAAAUAAUAAAGAUUCUCACAUGAUAAAUAAAAACUUCAAAUAAAAUCUAAGGUCAUUGUUUAACAAAAUUUACAACCAGAGCAAAUCACAUUUCUUAUAUAAGGAAUGAAGUUAGUGUAAACAUUUCCAAAAAUGCUUAUGACCAGUUAAACAAAUUUUAAUUAUUUUUAAGAAAAUGAUUCCGAUAUUCAUGUUUUCCAAGAGUCUACAUAUGAGGUAGUGACAGAAUUGUCAUUCUACUACAUAUAAGCUCAUAAUGGACCUACUCUUUACAAAGCAGAAUUGAACAACUGCACAACAAAAAUAAAUCUUUUCCACUGCAUAGCAACUGCAAAACAUAUCAAUUGCAGAAUAAAUCAUAAUCAACUGCAUAACAAAAUAAAUCUUUCCAUAAUAUUGAAAUUUACUGUAUUUUUCACCUACUACUUCAAAUCUAAAAUCAUCAUCUACUGAAAUAUUUCAAAACAAGCUCCUGGAUUGUAAAACAACACCCACUAGUAAUCCACUGCCAAGAGUAGAGCUUAAAAUAUUUCAACCAUUUUCCACUUCCCUCCGAAUGUUGAAAACAUUUGAGAAUUUUGGGCCAACCCUAUUGACCACCAAACAAUAGAAAACUAUAUAACAUGCCACCUGAUUCUAUUAUCUGAAUCACAAUUAAGAAAUCCCAAACUUCUAUUGCUCCAUCAACUCAAGCACUAAACUCACCUGGAGAAGAAUUCACAUUCAAAAUACAAGUGAACUAGAGUUUUGACUUCCUUAUAAGGUACCUCUAGACAUGACUUCAAUGGUUGGAGUAAUACCUCUAUAUGCUUGUUCUUAAGGGAGAAAUCAAUCUUGAGCUAGCUUCCAAAUACAAGAUUGAACCUUGAGUAAGUGUCAUAGAACCUUAUCCAGCCUAAAUUUCGAUAAUAGAACCUUAUAUGCGAUUUAACCAAGUAAGUGUGUCUAUGUAAUAAAUAAAUCAUUUUCAUGAAAGUUGAAACUUUAUAAAAUGAACUCAAAUUUAAACCAUUCAUUGACGCUGGCUUCAUAUAUUGGAGCUUAUUGCGGAAAAUCCUUAUUACUAUAUGACUUUAGAGGAGUUUUACAGUGUAAUUACAAGAUAGAAUACUGACAUAAAGUCUCCAUAAGAUUCAAGUUUUGAUAUGACCAUCCUAAAUCAUCCUCUGAAUGUUGUCAGUAAAAUUAACCAUAGUUUCAAGACUGUUAUCAUCUGCAACAAUGAAGCACCAAAUUAAAAUCACAGAUUUUCAGAGUUGAGACACAUUAUAUGCACAAAACUAAUAUUCAAAUGCGUCCUGGCACCAGUCAUAGUUAGUUACAAUGAAAGAUCUACAAUUUAAAGUAGGAGACACCACUAACCAAGUUUGGGGACUGUAUGCCCUCUGGGGUGAUGAAUCACAACAGGAUUCUGGAAUGCUCCCAACAAAGCAACGCUCUCUUCCUUCAUGAAAUCUUUCUCCCCUUCACCACAUAAUAAGAAUAGAAGAUACAAUACAACUUUCAAAGUUAAAUGUAAAGGAAAAUUUGCUUAAGCAGAAUCACAUAUGAGGGACUUGAAAUUACCAAUAAUGUGAAGAGAUAAGCAAUCAAUUGGUUUUGAAAAUGCAUUAGAAGCCAAUUUAGGCAUUCCAAACUUGUUUCCACCAAACUUGGCACCAGAUAUCACAAUCAAAAACUUGAUCUUGUCUACCUUCCCAAGUGCUACACCCUAUAAAAGUCAUCAUUCCCUUUAGUGAAAUCAAAUGCAGUUUUAACUAAUUUAGCCUACUUAGAGCAUCUCUAAUGCCGCUGUUUACAAAAGUUGCUUAAAAUGAAUAGCAUUGCUCAACAAAAAUUGACAUAUAAGAAACAUAAACUAUUUUUAUUUUAAAAAAAUGUACAUUUUCAAGUUAACAAUCAUCGUCAAGACAAAGAAACAAAGCUAUACACCCAUUUAAAAACUUUAGCAUUAGAGUUAAAACUCAAGUAUUCAUUCUUUGACAAUUUAAGAAAUAAAACCGUAUAAGCAAACCAUGCUUCAUGCUUCGUAGAUACUCAUUGAAAACUCAAAUAUUCAUUCAUUCUUUCACCAAAAGGGCAUCAUCAAGGAAGGAAAGAUGAACUUAAUAUAUAAAAGAGAAAGUGUAAACAGUAAUAAGAUGAGUUUCUUGUUCAGUACCUGCGCUUGCAUUCCUGGCAAUGCAGCCGCUAAAAUUGCUCCCUGAGAGACAACAUUCCUUAUGUGUCAAAAUUGUAUAAACAAAAGAUUACAAAAAGUUCACAAAUAACAUUGUAGCAGCAAAGUCCGCACCUGAGAGAAACCCAAUACACCAUCGAAAGGACCAUUUUUGAGCAUGUAAUCUUCUAUGUAUGCUAAACAGGCUUCGAAGUUUCUAUACUCAGAGAAGUCCUGUACAUGAAAAGAUAAACGUUAGCAGCAUACUAGGAUAAUGUCGGUGGUGGGGAUUACUAAGAUGGACAGUCUUGUCUCUACAACAACCUCAUUGGCUUGGAACCAUUCAUAGUAAGGAGGAUCGAAAAUGCCUUCAACGUCAGAUCUUCCCUGCGCGGGAAAUUGGCCAUCGAGGAACACGAGGUCCAAUUUUUGUAUCACUGGUUCUGGCCAUCUUAAGACUAGCUGCUUGAGGAUUUCGCCACUGGUUCUGAAUCCGUGGAGACACAGGAUUCUGGGUUUUCUCUGGGUUUGGUCUUCUUCCAUAAUGCUCAAACUUUGACAGCAGAUUAUUGCUCAGGGUGCUUUCAUGAAAUCAAAAUGAAAAUUAGUACCAAUUUCUUUAGAUUUGGGCAAAAUGUAAGGGCCGGCGCCGCCGAACCCAUCAUUUAAUAAAAUUGUAAAACAUUGUAAUUUUUAGAUUUCAUCUUAUAAAAUCAACUCAAUCUAAAUAAAUAAAUAUAUUUCAAAUUUAAAUUAUAUUAUUAUAAUUAAUUUUAAUUUGAAAUAUAAUAAUUUAAUAUAGAAAUUAUAAUGCAUAUAUAUGUUUAAAUAAAAUAACAUUAUUUUUAUAUUUUAAAUAAUUAUUAUUAUUUUAUAAAAAGAUUAUGUAUAAGGCUAUUUAUAGGCCGAACCUGUUUAAAUAUAUUACAAAAAUAAUUCAGUUUAAUUUAUAUUAUAAUUUUUUGUAAUUGAACCGUUUGAUUAUGUAGUUUUUUCAUGUGUUAGCUACAAGACACUAGUCUAUUUCAGCACAAAUAAAAAUAAUUUAUAUAUCACUCAAAGGAUAGUUCUCGUAAUUUAUUCUCAUGAAAGGUGUUUCCGUCUGUUGACUCGAACAAUAGUCUUUGUCCCUCCUAACUCCGUCUGAGAAUUGAACUUUCUUGAUCGAAGAAUCUCUCACCUGCAAAGACAAAGGGCGUCUUGACGGUCGUUUGCACUCCAACGCUCAAGUCAGUAUAAGGGCAAAGAAAGACCAAGUGUAUAAAGUAGUUUCAGUCUUAGAAAUUGUGUACCUUGCUAGGAUUCUUAGCACCCUUUAUAUAGGUUGAAACUAGGGUUUACCUUCGCUCAUUUACCCAUAUCUAGGGUUCCUUCGAGAAUGUCCCUACGCCGCUAUUACAUAAUCUUAGCGUAAUCUGAUACAUUGAACUUCCCUUAACUGGAGUGCAACGACUAACAGAAUGGUCAUCUGGGUACCAACUUGUGCACCUAAUCUCUGGGGCCAUCUAUUACGCGGGUGUCUUAAGUAUUCACGUGUCAUGCAUGCAGCUCCCUUCGGAAACCCUAACCCUAAUGGGCCUUAGCGCCUCCAAGGACUGUUUACUCGUGUCGCGCCUGAAUGCACUAUACACACCACCUGCAUGGAUCCCUCGUGACUUAGGUUUUCCUUAUAUCUGUCGUUUUAACUGAUAACUUAGUAUAAUUCUAGGGUCCACCUUACGUGGUCAUAUAUAACUGUUCUGACCGUCAACAUCCGAUCUCUUCCUAUUCUGGCAAGGUCUGAUAUCGAUCUCCAACUUCGAGGUCUAUGGUACUAGUGUCCGAACGCUGACCCACACCCUGAUAUGCGUAUCUGGGACCCACCUUGUGUGGCCCAUCUUUGCUAUCAGGCACCGAUGCGCGACGUCUGAGAUCAGUCUCUGAAGUCGAUGACCGAUGACUGGUCGAUACAAAAAGAAAAAUAAAUUAUUAACAUGUAGCAUGAUUAAUCCGGUUAUAAAAAAAAAUCCCAUAAAUUGUUACAUGCUAAUAUUUUUUUUAAAAAUUAUGAAAUUGUCAUGAAUGUUAUAUCCUCAUUUAUUUUUUAAAAAAAAUUCCUUACAUAGAAGUAGGCCAUUCAAUUCUAUAUAUAUAUUUGAAAUUUGUAGUAUAUGUUGGUUAUUAAUUCAGAUUUUAUUAUUAUUAAUUCUGAUUUUAUUACCCUUAAACUAUUUUACCGUUAUAUUGCAUUAAUGGUCAGUUUACAGGCCUGUUAGUAUUCUUAUUUUAUAGCUUCCAGUAAUUGUAAUUUUAUUAUAUAUAUAUAUAUAUAUAUAUAUAUAUUAUAUAUAGUNNNNNNNNNNNNNNNNNNNNNNNNNNNNNNNNNNNNNNNNNNNNNNNNNNNNNNNNNNNNNNNNNNNNNNNNNNNNNNNNNNNNNNNNNNNNNNNNNNNNUUACGUUCAAUAGUUGCUACAACCUUUUGCCUUCUCUUAUUUCCUUCAAUUAAUUCCUACAACUGGUAUCAGAGUCAGUCUGUUAUCAUAAACUCUACCCAAUUAUCAGUCCCUAUCCUUGAUGGAAAAAAUUACAAUCGGUGGUGUGUGCAGAUGAAAGUUUUGUUUGAUUAUCAUGAGUUAUGGGAUGUCGUUGAGAGUGGAGUGUUUGCAUUAGCUGCUAAUGCAACUGAGGCACAACGAGUAGCGCAUCGUGAUCAGAAGAAGAAGAAGGACAAUAAGACUUUGUAUCUCAUCCAUCAAGGGAUGAAUGACGAGACGUUUGAGCAGAUAGAAUGAGCAACAACUGCCAAUGAGGCUUGGACAAUUUUGUCAACCAAUUAUAAAGGUGAUGAUAAGAUCAAAAGGCUGCGUCUUCAAACCCUAAGACGCCAAUAUGAAUUGUUGCAGAUGGAAAUCACAGAGACUAUUUAUGUCUAUAUAAAUAAAGUUCUUGCCUUCACAAAUCAGAUGAAGACCAAUGGUGAAACACAUUCGGAGCAGGCAAAGGUGGAAAAGAUUUUGAGAUCUUUAACUCCCAGAUUUGAACAUGUUGUUGCCGCAAUUGAAGAGGCCAAUGACAUUUCAAAAAUGACAGUAAGGUUAUUGUUUGGUUCUCUACGAGCGCAUGAGCAGCGGAUGAAUGACAAUAAGAUUGAAAAACCAAUUGAACAGGCUUUAGAAGCACAAGCCUCAAUUGGUAGCUCCUAUAAUAAACAUGGUAGCUAUUUCAGCAAAGGUCGUGGUGGCUAGAAUCAUGGAGGCGCUUGGCGCGGGGAACGUGGUCGCGGAGGACGAGGAGACAUUUAUAAUAAAUCAAAUGUUGAGUGUUAUAAUUUCCAUAAACGUGACCAUUAUGCAAAUGAGUGCAGAUCAAAAGGUGAUAAUCAUGCUUCCAAUUGUGCUCAAGAAGAUAGUAAUCACGAACAAGAUGAAGAGGACCAUGAAGUAUUAAUGACAACCACAUCAAAUGAAACUCCAAACAACCAGACUUGGUAUUUGGAUACAGGUUGCACGAAUCAUAUGUGUGGUCAGAAGGAGCUGUUUGCAGAUUUGAAUGACUCAUUUCGCACAAAAGUGAAAUUCGGUGAUGGCAAGUUCAUUCCAGUGAUUGGAAAAGGGCAAAUUCUUAUUACAUUGAAGAAUGGUGAUCACAGGUACAACUAUGAUGUUUUCUAUGUACCUGACAUGAAAAGUAAUCUAUUGAGUGUGGGACAACUGGCCGAAAAGGGUUACGUGAUGCACAUAGUUGAAAAUAAAUCUCAAUUUUUUAUAAAAAAAAGGUAAUUUGAUUCUUAAAAUCUUUUUAUCAAAAAACUGCAUGUUUCCAGUAGAUAUUCAUAUGGGUGAUUUCAAGUGCCUGAAUGCAAUAGUGAAUAAUGAAUCGUGGUUAUGGCAUUUACGCUUUGGGCACUUAAAUUUUCAGAGUUUGAAAAAUCUUUCCAAAAGAAAUUUAGGCUUUGUUUGGAUUAGGGAGUGGAAAUGAGGGAGUGGAUUUGAGAUGAUUUGAAGAGAAACUGUAAAGAAAGUUAGGGUGUUUGGAUUAAGGUAAAGAGAGGGGAAAGUGUAGGGAAAGUUUAUAAAAGUUUGUGAGUGAUGUGAUGGAUGUGAUUGAAAUUGUAUUUUUUUUAAUUGAUAAAAAUGUAACUUUACACAUUUGCCCUUAUAUUUAAAAAAUGAUAAAAAAAAUUAUUUUGAUUGAUUAUUUGUGAAUUACAUUUUUUUUAAAUUAAAAUUAUUUUUUCGACAAUUGAAACAUUAUUUUUGAUACCGUGUUCGAGCUAACUUCGGAAAAUUAUAAAUUAUAUAAAUUUUUUGGAUCAUAUUUAUGAUUGAUAAACAUUAUUGAGAACAAAGUUGUAAUUGUGAAUUAUUUAUUUUUCAAUUAUAGUUGUAUGCAAUUAAAAGAUUAUUUUCGGUAUGGAACAAAUUAUUUCUCAUAAUGUGUUGGAUGUAUAAUUCGAUAAAGGAUUUUUUUUUUAAGAAAUAAAUAUUAAUGUGUAUUAAUGCAGUAUUUUAGUUUAUUAAAGCAAAAUUCAUUGAUAAAUUUUGUGCAUAAUAAUAAUGAUUCAGAAAAUCAUAUGAAUGAUACAAUGAAAUAUGUUUCAUUCAAAAUAGUCAUGGAAGUCCUUAAUUUGUUUAGGGAUUCGUGUCAUUAAUAAGAUUACAGAUUCGAAAAGAAAAACACAUAUGCAUAAUAAAGUACAACCAAAUUUUUACGUAGUUUAGGGAUUUGUAGUCAUUAUCUUGACCAGCUUUCUCAUUCUUCGCUCAAGAGGCAGGCCAAAGAGUUGUUUUACCGCAUUAGGAUGACCACACAAGAAGUCGUAACAAUUAUCUAACAAAUCUCCAUCUUGUAUGUUCAUCUCCACUAACAUUUCCCAGAUGUCAUAUUCAGAGUACUGGAAAGUCGAUGUACGAGGAAGUGUGCGCGUGUGUUCACGAAAUAUGGAGUUUCGUUCUUCUUCUGCAACAACAUGGCGUCUGUUAUAUUGCAGAUUUUCUUCCGUAGCAUUAGCCACUCGCUGUGAUGACAAAGCGACAACCUUAGAUGAAAUGGCUUGUCGCUCAGCAAUAUGACAUAACCUAUCUGACUGAUCAGUACCCCUCCCAAGGAUAUCAGUUAAUCCUUCAAACCUUGUGUUAAGCCUUUCCAGUUGCAGAUCAAUGACGUCCACCAUAGGGGCUUUUCUUUUUGAGCCUCUAGAAGAAGAAGUACCACCUGAUGGCUGGGAUGACUGAGGUGGCACCAAUGGGGGUGUCAAAUUAGGGUCAGGGCUGUAUGAAUCAACAUUAGGAUCAGCUGAGCGAGGAGUUUCACAUUGAGUAGCAUCCAAUCCUGGCUCCUCUAGGAUGUCCUCCAUAUUGUGAUCAUUAAGAUCUACAUUAAAAUGAUGAGACUGAGUUCGAUUUGAGGACUGCAAUGUUGUUCUUCCACCGUGGCCAGUAGCACGAUCAAGCCCCCAAAGUCUUCCAUCAACUUGUAGUGCCUGAUGGGAUUAACACGCCAUUUUGCGGUCGAGGGCUUUGCCUGUUCAUUAAUGAAAAGAAAUACACUCAUAAUCAUAAUUAGUGGUUAAUGUAUGCGAUAAGUGAACAUCAAGUUGAAUAUGUUACCUUUAUCAACGAAUCUCACACUUCAUCCUCGGCCUCGAAAAUUUUCGUGCUUGGAUUCCAAGCAAAACCACUCAGUCCACUAAAUAGAUCAUGGAUCUCACGCCAUUUGUCCUUAAGGCUUUUCUGCCUGUUCUUCACAUUAUUUUUUGUAAUCCCUACCAAUCCAGUCUGAUGUAAGGAUUUAACAAUGUUUGUGUAACCCUGCGUCGUCCAACUACCAUCAAUGCGGUUACCCAUAGAUGCCUCAUCGAUCAUGGCAUUCAGCAAUCGGAAAUCCAUGUCGGUAGUCCAUUUUUUGUGUUCACGGACAACUGCAGAUGACUCUGAAGCAAUACCCUUCCCGUGAUCCAUGAUAAAACCUAAUAAAAAAGGUUAAAACUUUAGUACAAUAACNNNNNNNNNNNNNNNNNNNNNNNNNNNNNNNNNNNNNNNNNNNNNNNNNNNNNNNNNNNNNNNNNNNNNNNNNNNNNNNNNNNNNNNNNNNNNNNNNNNNUCAUACGUAAAUAUUAAUAAAGGUGGAAUGUCAACAUUAAACCAUGAAAUUGUUCUUACAACAAUAUAAAUAUAAGUUCACGGAUGUUACAUAAAAUUAAUUAUUACAAUAACCUUUCCACAUUUCAUUCGCUAUAGUAUCCCUAAUUUGUGACCCGAGCCUGUAGUCAUCCUCACGAGUUUGCGAGUGUGACACAUCUAUAUCUCCUUGCAUCAACUCACGGUCAACUUCUUCCAACAAAGAGUCAUCAUUAUCCACCCCGCGAAGAAAGUUAUGAAGAAUACAACAUGCUAAAACAAUAUCGGUCAUAGUGUCCACAGAGUAAUGAGGCUCUGUUCCGCUAAUGAUAAUUGGAAAUCGCUUUUUGAGGACACCAAAUGUUCUUUCGAUAACAUUUCUUAGUGAGGAAUGACGAUGAUUAAAUAACUCACGGGCAUUUUGUGGACCUCUUCGGGAAUACUCUUUUAGAUGGUAUCGAACUCCGCGAUAUGGAGUUAUAACUUGGGUUUUGAGCAUAAAACCCGCAUCUCCAAGGUAGUAUUUGCCUACAACCAUCCAUUAAUAAUUGUUACUUAUAAGUGAAUUUCAUGUCAAAAUCANNNNNNNNNNNNNNNNNNNNNNNNNNNNNNNNNNNNNNNNNNNNNNNNNNNNNNNNNNNNNNNNNNNNNNNNNNNNNNNNNNNNNNNNNNNNNNNNNNNNNNNNNNNNNNNNNNNNNNNNNNNNNNNNNNNNNNNNNNNNNNNNNNNNNNNNNNNNNNNNNNNNNNNNNNNNNNNNNNNNNNNNNNNNNNNNNNNNNNNNNNNNNNNNNNNNNNNNNNNUCGAUUGUUGUUUAAGAUAUGAGGUUCAACCUCAGUCCCAGCUGGUUGAAUUAAGAACUCUCCAUGCAUCAUCAAUAUUGCUUUCAAAACAUUAUGAAAGUGACGAGACACUGUUUCCCCGGACCGAUGAAAGAAGAACGAAACACUUCGAUUCUUGACGUUAUAACCAAUGAUGUGUAAAAAUUUAGCCACUUGUUCUUCAACUAUAGAUCGAAAUGCAUCUUUAACCAUAUCCGUUCCUCUUAUUCGUUGACAUAAAUUAAUAAAUGCUUCCGGACUCAUGCGAAUAAUGUCACGACAUCUUUCAGUAUGGACCAAGUACGACAUCAAUUCUUGUCGACGACGCUCUUUUUGUGGAAUAAACUCCGGUAUAGGAUUAUUUGUCUCGGUUAACACACGCAAUACGUUCAAUCCAUAUCCAAUCAUGCAAAGAAUUGUCAUUGCUGCUACUUAUGUCCGCAAAUUGAUUUGCUCUUGUAUUUGUGAAACUAGUGUGAAAUCAACACCAACUACAUCGGGAUUCAUGUCAUUCGUGCUAGACAUCUCGACAUUUUUGAAAUACAUAGACCAAUGGUUAUCGUUAUCCAUGGUCACAAAUCCUUGACAAUCAUAUAAGUUUAACUAUUAGGUCUAAAGAACCACCUUUUAGAGAAAUAAUAAUACUCAAUUUUUUUUACUUUUAAAAAAAAUUAAAAUAUUAUAUAUAAACUCUGUAAAGUGUUAUAAUUAUAGUUGUAUUACAAAUUCAAAAUAAUAUUUAUAAAUUUUUUUUUACUUGAUUUUAGGAAAAAAUAAAUAUUAUAUAUAAACUCUGUAAAGUGGUAUAGUUAUAGUUGUAUUAUAAAUUCAGAAUAAUAUUUAUAAAAUUCUUUUACUUGAUUUUAGAAAAAAUAAAAUCUUAUAUGUAGACUAUCUAUAAAGUAAUAUUUUAAAAUAUUUAAAUACUUUGUAUACUUAUAAUUAUUUUAUAAAUUCAGAAUAAUAUUUAUAAAAUUCUUUUACUUGAUUUUAGAAAAAAUAAAAUCUUAUAUGUAGACUAUCUAUAAAGUAAUAUUUUAAAAUAUUUAAAUACUUUAUAUACUUAUAAUUAUUUUAUAAAUUCAAAAUAAAAUUUAUAAAGUCUUUUAGCUGAUUUUGGAAAAAAAUAAAUAUUAUAUGUAAACUAUCUAUAAAGUAGUAUUUUAAAAUAUUUUGUAUACUUAUAAUUAUUUUAAAGCCUGUUCAAAAUAAUAUUUAUAAAGCUUUUUACCUGAUUUUAGGAAAAUUUAAAUAUUUAAAUAUUUUGUAUACUUAUAAUUAUUUUAUAAAUUUAAACUGAUAUUUAUAAAGUUUUUUACUUUAUUUUUAGAAAAAAAUAAAUAUCAGAAACAAUUUAAAUAUUAAUAAGUUUGUUUUAACUAUCAGAAAACUCAUUCAAACUUUCAUUAAUGCUCAUUAAUUCUCAUCAAUAUACUCAUCAAUGUGAUUAAGAAAAAACUUUGAAAACUCAAAAAGGCAGCAGCAUUCUAUUAAUUCUAUUAACAUAAAUAAAAUAAAUUACAAAUUCCUUCCCUCCACAUUUCAUUCUCAUAUUUUAUUCUCCAAAUUCCAAAUCUAUGUAUGAAACUUACCUCCAGAAACCUAGAGAAAACGAUGCCACCGCGAACCACCAACGACCACCGAGCACCACCAGCGGAACCACCACCCACCACCAGCAACGAAACCGUCCACGUCCAACGACCACCAACAACGCCGCCUACGGAACCCCACCCACACCUUGCACCUCCGACAACCGCACACCUCCAACACUUACGAACCUCCGACAACCGCUCACUUCCAACGGUUGUGAACCUCCGACAACCGCGCAUAUCCACCGCGUACCUCCGACGAGCACCUCCGACAACCGCGCACAUCCACUGUGUACCUCCGACGAGCACCUCCGACCGCUUCUAAGGGUACUCCCUCAACUCAAAACAAAUAACCCACCUCCACUCCUCUUCCAUAUUUAUCAUCUCUCUCAUUUAUUCAUCACCCACACACUUGAAUUUAUCCACCAAACAAUGUACGAAUCCCUGUUUGUGCUGUGUUUGUGUUGUGUUUAUGCAAGGAAUCUCAUGCGUGAGAAUGGAGAGAAUAUUGGAGUUGCAUGGCACGGGCAUAGGCAGCUAUGGCACAUAGGUUAGGUGAACGGAUGGGUAAUAUGGUAAAAUGAGAAAGUUUCUCUCCAAAUCUUCUCAUCUCAUCAGGGAAGCCUUUUUCCCUUUCUUUGCUUUUCUUCGCCCCCUAAUCCCCGCUAACUCCCAGAUACAAACAUCAGAUUUAUUUCCUUUUCAAUCCGGGUGAACAGUAAUCACCCGGAUACAAACACAGCAUUAGUGAAUGGUUUACCCCAUAUUCAUCACCCUGAUCAAUUGUGUGAGGCUUGCUUUUUGGAAAGAAUCAUAGGAUACCAUUUGUUAAGGAGCCUUGGCGUGCAAAAUUUCCUUUGGAGCUUGUUCAUACUGAUGUUUGUGGCCCGAUGAACAUAUCAUCAGUUGGAGGUAAUAAGUAUUUUUUAACCUUUAUUGAUGAUUUUUCAAGGAAAACCUGGAUUUUAUGUAUUGAAAAGCAAGGAUGAGGUAUUCCACUGCUUUAAAAUAUUAUAUUUAAAGCAUUUGUUGAAAGACAUAGUGGCAGACAAAUUAAGAUGGUGUGUAAUGAUGGAGGGGGUGAGUACAAGUCUAAUGAGUUCAAGAGGCAUUGUGAGGAACUUGGGUUGCAGCAUAACAUAACCUGUCCCUACACACCUCAACACAACGAAGUUGUUGAGAGAAAAAAUAGAACAAUCAUGGACACGGCGAGGAGCAUGCUUAAAGCAAAAGGUAUGCCAAAUUAUUUUUGGACUGAGGCCGUAACAUGUGCGGUAUAUUUGAUAAACAGAUCACCCACUCGGAGUGUUCCUAACACAACUCUGAUUGAGGCAUGAAGUGGAUUCAAACCCAAUGUGCAGCACUUGAAGGUAUUUGGGUCAAUUACUUAUGCUCAUGUUCCCAAGGCAGCAAGAUCGAAGUUGGAUGAUAAGGCAGAGAAGACCAUUUUCAUUGGAUAUAAGCAUGGGGAUACAAAUUGUACAAUCCAAUGACAAAGAAGGUGAUUGUUAGUCGUGAUGUUACAUUUGCCGAAGAUGAGGAAUGACAAUGGAAUGCAACAGUUGAAAUUGAUUCAAAAAAACGAUAUAUUUACGUUUUGAACGAUGAUGUGGAAGAUGGAGUCACUCUUAAAGCACCUACAGUUCAACCUGAAGCUGUAAUUCAACCUGAAAAUGCAACUCCAAUUGCAACUAUGAUGGAGCGACCAAGAAGGCAACAACGACAACCUGUACACCUUCAAGACUACGAAGUAAAUCUUGACGAUGAAGUUGAUGACAAUGGAGAUUUAGUUCACUUUGCUUUUGUUGCAGACUCAGAACCUGUGAGACUUGCCGAUGCCAUUCAACACCCCAAAUAGCAAAAGCCUAUGAAUGAAGAAUUGAUGGCGAUUGAGAAAAACAAUAUCAUGACUCAAAUUGGGAAGGAUGUUCCAAAUCAUAAUUAAGGGAGGAUGUUGGUUAUUAAUUCUGAUUUUAUUAUUAUUAAUUCUGAUUUUAUUACCUUAAACUAUUUUACCGUUAUAUUGCAUUAAUGGUCAGUUUAAUGGCAUGUUAGUAUUCCUAUUUUAUAUAGGUUCCAGUAAUUGUAAUUUUAUUAUAUAAAUGAUUGAGUAAAUUAAAAUGAAUAGAAUCAAUUUUACAAUUUCGUGCAAUUACGUUCAAUCAACAUCUAAUUUAAAAAACCAUUUUUGCAUAGGACGGAAAAUAGUUCGCGUCCUAUAAGCAAAGCUAAAUUUUAUUCUCACUAGUUUUAAACACUACAAAAAAAAACUUUUAUUAGAAAGGGCCAAAGGCGGACACUAAUCACAAAAAGCCCACGCAAAGAUGCAAUUAACGUGGGCUUUGCCUUCACACAACUUUGAAGCUAAUAUCCUUGUCGCAAAAAAACUGUCGGGUGCGUGGCGUCGCAAAAUGUUGGCUUGCGUGGGCUUUGCCUACAAGUUGCCAACACAAAAAAUUACAAAUGUUAACUUAAGCGGGGGCUUAGCCUUGGACAGAAAAUGAGGGCUUAGGCUUAGCUAGGGGGACAAUAAAAUUAGCGUGGGCUUAGCCUUGGAUAAGGGGACAAUAAAAGUAAAAAUAAAGCGUGGGCUUAGCCUUGGAUAGUGGGACAAUAAAAUUAGAAUAAAGCGAGGGCUUGACCUUGGUAAAGUGACAAUGAAAUUAGAAUGGGCUUAACCUUGGAUAUGUGGACACCUUUUUUUUUGUAUGCACUAUUUUUGGCAGCUAUUGAACUCCACUUUUAAAUAAAAGUUUGGAUUUUAAAUAUUAAAUAUUAAUAUUUUUUAAUUUGCUUUUUUUUUUGCAAUAGCAUUAAAAAGAAAAAAACAUCAAUGAAUUGAUAAGUUAAAAACUAAAAAACAAAAGUAAUGAAUAAAUUAUUAUAUUGAUGAAUAAAAAGUGUUUAAGCACCGGAAGAUGGACAUUAAUUAGUUAGCUUGGUUAUCUUAGUGAUUUCAUUAUUCUUCUUCUUAGGUUUAAGCUUUGUUGAAAUGCCUUCCAUUUGCGCUGCUUACUAGUUAUGUUUUAUCAAAACAUAUGCAAUGAAAAAACUAUCAUUUUAAUACAUUUAAGAAACAUUGUUCUAUAAUAAAUAUUUUUAUUAUAGAAAGUUAUGCACCCAACAGCUGGUUCUCUAGCUUAAGUUAUGCUUAAGUUAGUAAUUUAGCUGGAUGACCACAGUUGUGAAUGAGUAGUUUGAUAGGCUGGUUCUCUAGCUUCCAUGAUCAUCUUUUCUGGAUUCUAUGAAUAUAUUGUUUAUCAAGUUUCUCUGGACACAUAACAUAGUAUCUAAAAUUGGGGAUCGUACAACAACAACAAAGGUUUAAGGAUAGCUACAUACACAAACAUUUAAAUCAUAUGGUAUAACAUCUUGGCUCUUAUAUGUUAAAGAGAUGAUUAUAUUCAAAAUUGUAUAUUGAUCACACAGAAUCCUCUAUGGAGUUACUAAUUAAAUUGCAGAUGUCACUGCAUAUACCCUAAAAGAGNNNNNNNNNNNNNNNNNNNNNNNNNNNNNNNNNNNNNNNNNNNNNNNNNNNNNNNNNNNNNNNNNNNNNNNNNNNNNNNNNNNNNNNNNNNNNNNNNNNNNNNNNNNNNNNNNNNNNNNNNNNNNNNNNNNNNNNNNNNNNNNNNNNNNNNNNNNNNNNNNNNNNNNNNNNNNNNNNNNNNNNNNNNNNNNNNNNNNNNNNNNNNNNNNNNNNNNNNNNNNNNNNNNNNNNNNNNNNNNNNNNNNNNNNNNNNNNNNNNNNNNNNNNNNNNNNNNNNNNNNNNNNNNNNNNNNNNNNNNNNNNNNNNNNNNNNNACUCUUGAACAACAAAACAGAUCCAUGCAUAAUCCAAAUAUAAAACAAUACCAUUUCUAAUUUUUGGAUUGAUUUCCAUAGUGAAUCUAAUUACACCAAAAUGAAGAAGUUUGUGAUUGAACAUUGAAAGGCAAUGACACUUGCCAAAUGUUUUAAGCAAAGAUAGAUGUCACAACCCAGUGUGUCUGUCUUCCCAGAGGAUGAAAAGAGAACAUAUAUAUCUACGUACCUCACAAAAUUGCAAUAUUUUCCCAAAACAGAAAAAUGAGAGAUACUGCAUGAACACACUGCCAAUAAGAUACUUACCCAAAAUUGCAAUCCUUUUUUCCUUGCUUAUAUCACGAACUUUUACUGCAUGAACACACUCACUCAUCACAACACUACCAAGAAGAUAAAAACAUGCACAUCACAACACUACCAAGAAGAUAAAAACAUGCUCAUCACAACACUGCCAAGAAGAUAAAAACAUGCAAAGAGUCAUGCAUGCAAUGUGAGUAAUACAUAAAUGACUCAACCUCUCCAUGUCUUUCUAUUGCAUUGCAUAAAUUCUUGUCAAGGAAACUACAAACCAAACUUAAGAAAUGUUUUAAGAAAACUAACAAAAUGAUGAACUCAAGGCAGGGGUUGAUCCAAAAUUUGCUACACCAAAACAAAUCCAAAAUUAAUUCACUACUAGAAAACUAAAGAUCAAUAAUUCUCUCCUUAAUUUCAAUUACACCAUGUAAAAGGGUCAAAUUUCACUAUGAAUCCAGGACUGGUAAAAGCUAAGAGAAGCCUAAAUUACUUAGAAAUGGACAACUUAAAAAAGAGAGUAAAAAUUGCGAAAAAAAAUGCAUAAGGGGCAAUAGAGAAAGAAGCAAGAGUUCACUGACAAGUGGCAUGGCUGAACAGGGCAAGAAACAUAAACUUUUAAUGGCCAUGAUAUAUUUUCUUUAUCUUUUUUUCACAAUUAAUUCAGUACUUCAUAUUAAGUAGUUAAAAAUUCUGCCAGACAAAUCCUCCCCAAAUUACACGACCUCUAAACCCACAAGAACUGCCAGACUGCCAGUCAAACUACAAGGUUAGCAAUGAAUCCAACCAAAACUUAGAAUCCAAACAAGAAGUUUAGUCAGUCACAAAUAAAGACUCAAGAAUGGUAAGGGUAACAAAACCUAAAGCUUCACAAAUCCCCUGGGAUGUGUUUCCACAUCUUACCUCACAUAUCAGUCUGGAAAAAUAUGCUCUAUCUACAAUGUUUCAAAUAAAGGGGAGACAUCUUCCCUGAGCAUUUUAUUAUUACUAACCUAUGAUUUGCUAAAAAGAAUCAAACAAAAACAAUAUUCAAAUUUAUGUUUUUUAAUCCCUGCUGAAAAAGAACUAACACAAAGUUACAUAUGAUAGAUUUUUGUCAUCAAAUAAAUAACUACAUCCAAACUCAAGUAAGCAUCUCCUUCCAGUAUUUAGAUCUCCUACCUCACAUCCGUGGCUUGUUUUUCGUGUACACUAGCAGAUUUUAAUCCUUAACCGGUUUUACAUGCUAAAAAGAAAUGAACACAAACGAAUCAACACCUAGACAUAAAAAAUUUAAGAACUAUAUUUAAAUUCAAAUAGAUAUUGGUAAUAAAGACCAAGAAUUUAAGAAAGCAUAAGAUGAAUUGAAGGAAUAAAAAAACCAGAGAAAUUCAAAUAGUCAGUCCCAGUUAAAGACAAAAAUAUGUGUGGAUGCAAAGAAGAUCGAUAAUCAUGCAACACAAAUUAGGCAAGAACAUUGUUCCUUUGCACGAACCAAGUUCAAGUUCAAAAUUCAUUUGUCAAUGAAAGAAACUAAUAAAGUAUAUCUGACAGACACAUCAUAUAUUACAAACUUCAAUAAUCAACAAGAACUAUAUUCAAAUUUAUAUUUUUUAAUCCUCAACUGGAAUCAUGUUGAAAACGAACUAACGCAAGCACAUAAACGGUUACAUAUGAUAGAUCUAACAUAAAAUAAAUAACUACAUCCAAACUCAAGUAGACAUUUGUCAUGAAAGAAAGACAAAAAAUGUAGGAUAACAAAACCUAACGCAUCAAGGAUCUCCAUCCAGUAUUUAGAUAUCCUACCACACAAAGAAAUCAACACCUACACAUACAAAUUUUAAGAACAAUAUUUAAAUUCAAAUAGAUAUCAAUAAUAAAAACCAAGAAUUUAAAAAAGGAUAAGAUAAAUUAAUGAAUUCAAAAACCGGUGGAGCCUUAGUUGCUCAAAACACGCACGAUGAGGUAGAAGAUUCAACCCUUAGGCCUUAUAUAACAUACUCCAUGAUAUGGUGCAGGGCAUUAAGUGAAAAUAAUUCAAACAUCGAACACAAUUCAAUCCUUGGAGAUCAAGUAGAGAGAAAUUAAACAAUAGAGAGGAAACUCAUCAAGAAAUUAGGAUAUCCUGAGCUGCAGUCGUUUUAAACUCUUUUAGAGUUUAGGGUUUCAAAUAUCAAGUAGAAAAAAUUCAAUCAUCGAACACCAUUUAAUCCUUGGAGAUCAAGUAGAGAGAAAUUAGGGAAACAAAACAUAAUACUUCACAUCAUGUCCUACACUACACCACACAUCCAUUGCGUGCUUUCCCUGUACAGCCCAAAAAUUCAAGAAACGAAUUAGCUGUACAGCCAAAAAUUCAUGAAAACGAAAUAACCUCUUAAUAAAAAGAAGUAUAGAAAAAUGAUAAAAAUGAAGAUGCAGAUGCAGAUAAAGACUAAAAAAGACUUGGACAGUUACACAACCAAACACCACUGCAGACAAACACCAAUAAACAAAUCAUAAUCCAAUCCUUAUUUUCGGUGAUCAAUACCAGAUAAAUUAAAUAAUAGAAAGGAGACUAAAACAAGACUUGGAUCAAUUGGCCUUUCUAAACUAUUAUGUUUUUCAUUUCAUCGAUAGACAAAACAAAUCUCAAAACCAAGUCACCAGCAGAAAAGGGAUAAAGGAAUUUGAUCAAAAGAUUCAAAACUUGCCAUCAUCACAAAGAAUCACAUUCGGCGUAAAUGAAUCACAAUCCAAUAAAAGCACAUUAAUCACUUACAAAUAAUUUUUCUAUCCCACGACGCAAACAUCAUGUAAUUCUACAAAACCUUAUAGAGAAUCACAACAAUAACCGAAGCAAUACUAACAAAACUGAUCUUGGAUAUAUAUGUAAUACUAACCAAUGACUAAAUCUAAUAACCCAGCAACCAGAAACUAAAUCUAAUAACCCAGCAACCAGAAACACAGUGUUAGGGUACAAUCGAGAUGGAUUGAAAACGAAAGGAAAUGCAAAACUUACGAUGUUAGGGCACAAUCAAGAACACGGUCGUACUCCGGUCGCAAUGCUUGAAUGCUCAACAGAGAGAGUACUUCGGUCGCAAUGCUUGAAUGCUCAACAGAGAGAGUACUCCGGUCGCAAUGUGAGAAUGUUGUUGAUGCUGAGGAAAAGUGGAGUGAAGUGAGUAUUGCAUGGAGAGAAUUGCUUCAGAAUUGAAAAAUGAAAGAAGAAAAAGAAAAGAAGGGAUUAAAGUAAAGCAAAAAUAAAAAUUAAUUAUUUGUGUGUAAUUUGCAUGGGCUUAACCUUCUUAUUAUUUAAAUUUAAUUUUAAAACUUUUAACGUGGGCUUAACCUUCAAAUAUUUAAAUUUUAAUUAUUUUUAUAAUUUUAGUAGCUGCCAUUUCAACAACGCAACCAUUAUUAUUAUUUUUUUUUUGAAGUUUACGUGAGAAUAACACACGCUUUCCUCACACCUUAUUUAAUUUAUUUUAGGUUUAAUGGAUACUAUAUAGUGUCCACUUAUGGCCUUCAAUAUUUGUUUGCAGCUAAAUUAAGAUUUCUUUGUAAUGAAAUAACUUUUUUUUUACCACCAAAAGGAAUUUAGAAAAAACGAGAAAUUGAACAAUAAGAUGAACGAUGUGAUAAAGACCAAAUAAAAAUAUAUUAAGAAUAAAAUCAUUUUAGUGUUACUUAUAAAAGAAUAGUACACAUCAGAUUUCUCUGGUUACUGAUAAUAGAAUUUAUAUAAUAAAUAAAUUAUUCAUACGAGAUUACAUAAAACUAACUCAAAUUUAACCAUAGAUUGAUGACAGCUUCAUAUAUUGGAGUUUUUUUACGUGAAUUUUUUAUUAUUAUUAAGACUCUUAGGACCAAUCAAACAAUAGAACACAGUUUGAAGAGUCUUAUCAUGUACGCAACGAAGUACCAAAUAAAAUUUUGAGAUGUGUUACAACUAUACCUGGUAAAAGUGGGAUAGUCCAACCUCAUUAAACUCUUCAAGAAAAAAAUGUGAUCAUAUAGACUACUCCAUAAUUUCAACAAACACCAAUUUUCAGGUUUAGUUCCAUUCUAUAUUAUAACAUUUCAUUUUCACUUAGAAAAAAUAAAUUCACCUCCACACUUACAACUUUAUCUACUUAAACCAAUUUAAUCCAACUACGUGUUAAGAAUAUAAGUAUAAAUUUGAGUCUCAUUUAAUAAAUAUAAGAAGUUGAAUAACAAAUAACUAUGAAUAAAUAUAAAAAGUUGAAUAACAAAUAACUAAUCUUAAGUUUAGCACAAAACACAAUUAGUUCAACUAAAAACUUACAAAAAAUAUUGGAAGCAUCAAUGGAGCUUAUUGCAAUAAAAAAAAAUCUAAACAAAACAUUGUUUUGUUAAAAUGUGCAUCUAUUAGUUAAUAAGUUUAUUAUAAAACUUGUAUUGAUUUUCAUUUUCACUCAAAUUAUUUUAUUUUUUUAUAUCUUUAAUCAUGUAACGACAUGUUAUAUUCUUUUGUAGGAUAUCAUAUGAACCCGAGGGAUAAUUAAGACAAAGGUUUGGAUUUCUAAAAAUAAUAUUAAUAAUGCAAAUAAUAUUAAUAAUCUAAAUAAUAUUUAUAAAAAAAUUAUACUAGACAUUACAAACAUCUCACUUAUAUUGACAUUUCAAAUUUCAACCACCUCUAUUGAAAAAAAAAAUUAUUAAACAAGUAAAAAAAAAUACAAACAAGUACGAGAAAUUAAAACAAAAUCCAUACUAACCAUAAAAUACAUCAAAACUAAACAAGAGAAACAUAGUUAAUUUAUACCUAUUAUGGAAAAUGUUCAAGAAUAUAUUAAAAUAAUAUAUUAAAAUACAGUCUAUUAUACCAAAUAAAGUCUUACCUAUAAAGAAAGUCUAAAUUGACAGAUUUAUCAUUACCCCUCUUAAAAUAUGAAAGACAUACUUUUACAAUAAAUAAGACAUUUAUUUCAUUUAUUCUUAAUAAAUCAUCAAGUCACAUGAGUCAUAGAAGGAAAAGCAAAGCAAACUAAUAUGAUUCACACUCUUACCAUAAUAAAUUAUAAACCAAUGUAAAUAACAUUUAAUGAGGGAUAAAUUUUUUCAAUAAAUAAUAAUAUUUUUUAAUUUAUUUUUAGUUAUUUGUGAAUCUCAUUUCGAUUUGAUAUUUAAUUUGAGUGUCAUAUUGUCAUUAACCAAUAUUUAAUUGUUUUUUCUCUUAUUCUAUUAUUGUGUCAUUCCAUUUGGAGCAAUAGAGGGGCUAGUUUAGUGUAUGUGUUGGCAUUUGAUUUGUUCCUUUUCGGUAUGUUCGUACAAGGUAAAAUCGUAAAAAGGAAAAAUUAGAAAACUGUCUUGUUAGAGUAUUGUGUUAGCAUAAUAUUGAUCUCAAAAUAAGGUUAUUUUGUAUGUUAUUGUUUUAUAAAUCUCAAAACAAAUUUUGCAGGUUCAAGAAAAAGCUUUGGAAUAUGGAAAUUAAAUAUAAAUAUUUAUCAAAGAAUAGAAAAAUACUUCAAGUUAGCAUGUUCCUCAAUUGGAAUAUCGAUCUCAAAAUAAGUUUAUUUUUGUACUUCACUAUUUUAUAAAUCUCAAAAAAAAAUUGCAGGUUCAAGAAAAAGCUUCGGAAUAACAAAAUUAAAUUUAAAUAUUUAUCAAAGGAUAAAAAAAAAAUUAAAAAAAAAAUACUACGAUCAAGUUCAUUUUCUUGAAAACUUUACGAGCUCUAAAAUAAAUAAAAAAUACAACUAAUUAUUCAGAAAUUUAUGAACUUGGAAAUUUUUAAUUUUCAUUAAGAAUAAUUAUUUUUUAUGAUAUGUUAUUUGCAAUUAAUUAAUCUAGUAAAAAAUUACAAUCAAAUAACGAGACUAUUGAUAAAUUAAAAGGUAUUCGUUUAUUUUAUUUCUGUAAAUUAUAGGAAAAAUGAAUUUGAAAAUGCAUUGUCUUCUGCUAAAGAAAUUGCUUUUGAAAUAGAUACAGAGUAUAAGUUAUGUGAAAAACAUGGUAGAUCUGUUGAUAAUAUAAGUUAUGUGAAAAACAUGGUAGAUGUGUUGAUAAUGAAAUUCUAAAAUCUCCUAAAAAAUCAUUUAGAUUUUAUGACUUUCUAUACAUUCAAAGAAAACAAUUAACUCCAAAGUUGAUUUAAGAAUUCAAAAUAUAAGAAAAUAUGAAAAAUAUUUGAAGAAUAAUUUCGUGAUAUUGAUGGAUUAUAUUUAUUUUCAAAAUUUAAUAUCUUAAAAGAAAUGACAGAAUUGAAAAAUAAUAACUAAUUGACCUUCUAAAUCAUAUAAAAUAAAUAAAUUAUUUUCCAAAUAUAUAUAUAAGAGAGGGAUUACAGGUAAUAAAAUAAUAUAAAUAUUCUAGUACUACCAAUAUAAUCAAGAAAUUAAGGUGAAUGAGAAUUUAUAUUUUUUUUCUCCAAUCCAUAAAGAAAUGUUUUAAAAAAAAUCAUUAUAAAAGAUCGAUCUAUUAUAAAGUGGAUUUUAAGCUUAACUCAAUCCCAUAAAACUGGUUUAAUCCCAUAAAACUGGUUUAUAGGGUUGAGGAUUGCACCCACUUAUAUACGAUGAAAGACUCUAAUCUCUAGUCGAUGUAGAUUCCAACAUCAACCUCAAAUAAUAUUUCUUGUAAUUAAGAUCAAAACAGUAAACGAUUACAAUAUCGAUUGAUUUCGUUGAAAUGAUUUUUUUAAAACUAAAAGUUACUUAAUAUUAUCAACGAAACCCGAGGCUCACCUCUCCUUUGACCAUGUUAAUUCACAAUCUCUUUCACUAUGCCAUUAAAUGAGUUUGGAACAAGUUUUGUCUUUCUCACCGUCGUCAUGCUUCCCAAGGACCCAUUCACUUAACUCUUCGUGCGUUCCAAUGCAAACAAGUCAGGGUUUUGAUUUGCUUCCUACGAAUCCAAAAUUAGUAACUACAGAAUGUUGUUUGUUGUUGACUCUACAAAUUUAGGGUGGGAAAGAAAAGUUUAUAUCAUACUACUCCACUUCAUAUGCUACUUCAUUUGAUUUUUUUAUUGGUUGUUCUUUGAUGAAGUUUUUCAUUGCUGUUGAUGUUCUUGGUGGUUCUUUGGUCAAGGUGUCUAUUGCUACACGGUGUGUGGGUGAAUUUGUUGGUGACUAGAUUUUUUUGUUAUCAUGGGCUGGUGCAUAGUUGUACCUUUUUUUUUUCAUUGAAAAUUUAAUUUGUAUGGGUGAAAUCUAAACUAUAAAGAUGAUGAAAUUUGCUAAUUCUAGAAUACGUUGUGAUUUUGCAACUAUUUUAUUUUACUUCUACUAUGUGUGAAUUUAGUAAGGUUGAAACCAUCUUGAAAUCUUUUUUAUAUUUAUUUAAACUAUGAUUUGACUCUCGCUAUUUGUUUAUAUUUUAAUAUUAAUUAGGACUUAAUCCUCUUUAAGUUAGAGUAUGUUAAGGUUGCGACCUCUCUAGGUUAGAGUAAGCAAGGUCUUGAUCCUCUCUCUAAUUUAGAGUUAAAGUUUUCCAAUUUCCAAUAAACAACUCUUUUACGUUGUUAAGCCCACUCUAUUAACGAGAGUCCAAUCUACAUUAUUAGUUUCCACUUAGAGAGGACUUAUGAUUGUUAUAGGUUGACGUAAAUAAAAAAGUCAUUUUCAAUCCGUUCACGGUGUAUGGAACACUAUAUGUCCACAUUAAUUAUAAUGUAACGACUUCUUUUUCAAUUUUAGUCCAUCUUUGACUCAUGCUAUAGACAUUUUUCUUGUAAUUUGAUAACUUUGGAUAUUAGAAUGAGAAAUUUUUCUCGGUCAUCAUCCACUGAAUUUGAGUGUUGGAGUGACUAAUAACUCAAUUAAGGGAAACUUCAAAAUAUUAAUUCAUAAAUCACAUUUAUUAUAGAUAUAAAUGUAAAUUUGAGAAUAGGGAAUUAUGAUUGUAUUAAAAAAUAAAUAUUAUUUGUGUGUUUUUAUAACAUGAUUGAUAAAACUUACGUAACCAUUUAAAAUUAAAGCGAAAUAGGAUUAAUUGAGAAAUGUAUCGAUUAGCACAUGUAUGUUCUUUUCAACGGCUUUGGUGACCUAAUUAGAAAACGUCAAACUAUACUGGCAACCUAACUGGAAAACUUCAAACUAUACAGCCAUUCCAUUACUUGUGGAGUAAGGCAAAAAUGCCUUUGUGUUUACUUUUCUAGUAUACGUGCAAGUGUACAGGUCCACUAAUUUCGCAUAUGGUUCUUUCAUUGGCUUUUUAUUGAGUAUAGAUAUGAAAUAUAUUUGGUCCACGUCAAAAAGAAAAAGAAUUGAAAGCGAAACCAAAAAGCGAAAAAAAAAGUAGAAUUAGAAAAUUAAAUAAAUGUUGAAGUUAUUUGAUAAAAUAUAAAUAAUUAUGUUUUCUAUUUCAUUUCUCCUAUUGCAUCAUAUCACGUGACCUAUUUAUAUUCAUAUUGAUUUACUAGGAUUAAUAGUGUUGGAAAGGAAAUAUCAAUUUUGUUUCUUCUACAACUUAACAAUUAACUUAAAUGCUUGUUUGGUAUUGUUAUAAAUCUGAGACUUAGACUGAAAAGUGAAUUGUGAACUUAUGUUUAUUAUUAGAUUAAAAAGUGAGUUGUGAACUUAGGUUUAUUAUUAUAAAUUAUUUAUACUUAUUUUAUUUGUGUAGUAAGUUACGUGUGUUUUUAUUAGUUGAAUGGUGUUGGUUAUUAAUUAUGAUUUCUAUUAUUAAUACUGAUUUCACCGUUAUACCGUUAUUGUUUCAUUAAUGGUUAGUUUACUUAUUUCCUUCCAUUAGUUUCCUACAAUUGGUAUCAAGAGCUAGUCUGUUAUCAUGAACUCUACCCAAUUACUAGUCCUAUGGAAAAAAUUACAAUCAGUGGUGUGUGCAAAUGAGAGUUUUUUUUAUUAUUUAUUAUCAUGAGUUAUGGGAUGUCGUUGAGGGUGGAGUGGUUGCAUUAGCUGUUAAUGCAAUUGAGGCGCAACGAGUAGCGCAUCAUGAUGACAAUAAGGCUUUGUAUCUCAUCCAUAGGGAUGAAUGACAAGACGUUUGAGAAAAUAUAAGGAGCAACAACUGCAAGUGAUGCUUGAAUCAUUUUGUCAACCAAUUAUAAAGGGUGAUGACAAGAUCAAUAGGGUGCGUCUUCAAACCCUAAGACGCCAAUAUGAACUGUUGCAGAUGGAAACCACAUAGAUUAUUGAUGUCUAUAUAAAUAAAGUUCUUGCCUUGACAAAUCAGAUGAAAAGCAAUGGUGAAACACAUUCGGAGCAGGCAAAGGUGGAGAAGAUUUUGAGGUCUUUAACUCCCAGAUUUGAACAUGUUGUUGCCGCAAUUGAAGAGGCCAAUGACAUUUAAAAAAUGACAGUAGGGUUAUUGUCUGGUUACCUACCAGCGCAUGAGCAGCGAAUGAAUGACAAUAAUAUUGAAAAACCAAUUGAACAGGCUUUACAAGCACAAGACUCAAUUGGUAGCUCUUAUCAUAAACACGGUAGUUCACGAGGCAGAGGACGGGGACAUGGUGGUAGCUAUUCCAGCAAAGGUCGUGGUGGCUAGAAUCAUGGAGGCGCUGAGCAAAAUAACAUUGGUUUCAAUCACAUUCCAAGUUCAAAUAACUCUUGACGUGGAGAACGUGAUCGCGGAGGAUGAGGAGGCAUUUAUAAUAAAUCAAAUGUGGAGUGUUAUAACUGUCAUAAACGCAACCAUUAAGCAAAUGAGUGCAGAUCAAAAAGUGAUAAUCAUGCUGCCAAUUGUGCUCAAGAAGACAGUAAUCACGUACAAGAUGAAGAGGAUCAUGCAUAACUAAUGACAGCCACAUCAAAUGAAACUCCAAACAAUCAGACUUGGUAUUUGGAUACAGGUUGCACAAAUCAUAUGUGUGGUCAAAAGGAGUUGUUUGCAUAUUUGGAUGACUCAUUUUGCACAAAAGUGAAAUUCGGUGAUGGCAGGGUCGUUCCGGUGACUGGAAAAGGGCGAAUUCUUAUCACAUUGAAGAAUGGUGAUCACAGGUACAUAUAUGAUGUUGUCUAUGUACCUGAUAUGAAAAGUAAUUUGUUGAGUAUGUGACAACUGGCUGAGAAGGGUUAUGUGAUGUACAUAGUUGAAAAUAAAUUCUCAAUUUUUGAUAAAAAAUGUAGUUUGAUUCUUAAAACCUUUUUAUCAAAAAACCGUAUGUUUCCAGUAGAUAUUCAUAUGGGUGACUUCAAGUGCUUGAAUGCAAUAGUGAAUAAUGAAUCGUGGUUAUGGCAUUUACGCUUUGGGCACUUAAAUUUUCAGAGUUUGGAAAAUCUCUCCAAACGAAAUUUAGUGAAUAGUUUACCCCAUAUUUAUCACCCUGAUCAAUUGUGUGAGACUUGCAUUUUUGGAAAGAAUCACAGGAUACCAUUUGUUAAGGAGCCUUGGCGUGCAAAAUUUCCUUUGGAGCUUGUUCAUAUAGAUGUUUGUGGCUCAAUGAACAUAUCAUCAGUUGGAGGUAAUAAGUAUUUUUUAACCUUUAUUGAUGAUUUUUCAAGGAAAACCUGGAGUUAUCUAUUGAAAAGCAAGGAUGAGGUAUUCCACUGCUUUAAAAUAUCAUAUUUAAAGCAUUUGUUGAAAGACAGAGUGGCAGACAAAUUAAGAUGAUGCGUAGUGAUGGAGGGGGUGAGUACAAGUCUAAUGAGUUCAAGAGGCACUGUGAAGAACUUGGAUUGCAACAUAACAUAACAUGUCUCUACACACCUUAACACAAUGGAGUUGUCGAGAGAAAGAAUAGAACAAUCAUGGACAUGGCGUGGAGCAUGCAUAAAGCGAAAGGUAUGCCAAAUUAUUUUUGGGCUGAGGUCGUAACAUGUGCGGUAUAUUUGAUAAAUAGAUCACCCACUCGGAGUGUUCCUAACACAACUCCGAUUGAGGCAUGGAGCGGAUUCAAACCCAAUGUGCAACACUUGAAGGUAUUUGGGUCUAUUACUUAUGCUCAUGUCCCCAAAGCAGCAAGAUCGAAGUUGGAUGAUAAGGCAGAGAAGACCAUUUUCAUUGGAUAUAAGCAUGGGGGAUACAAAUUGUACAAUCCAAUGACAAAGAAGGUGAUUGUUAGUUGUGAUGUUACAUUUGUCGAAGAUGAGGAAUGGCAAUGGAAUGCAACAGUUGAAAUUGAUUAAAAAAAAACGAUAUAUUUACGUUUUGAACGAUGAUGUGGAAGAUGGAGUCACUCUUGAAGCACCUGCAGUUCAACCAGAAGCUGCAAUUCAACCUGAAGUUGCAAAUCCAAUUGCAACUAUGAUGGAGCGACCAAGAAGGCAGCAACGACAACCUGUACACCUUCAAGAUUGGCGAAGUAAAUCUUGAUGAUGAAGUUGAUGACAAUGGAGAUUUGGUUCACUUUGUUUUUCUUGCAGAUUCAGAACCCAUGAGACUUGCAGAUGUCAUUCAACACCCCAAAUGGCAGAAGGCUAUGAAUGAAGAAUUGAUGGCGAUUGAGAAAAACAAUAUCAUGACUCAAAUUUGUUUUAAUCCAGAUAUUCCAAUUAAGAUUUAUGUUGACAAUGUCUCUGCAAUUAAUCUUGCAGAGAAUCCAGUUUUUCAUCAAAUAAGUAGUCACAUUGAUAUUCGAUAUCACUUCCUGCGAGACCAAGUUAAGAAGAACAUGAUCAAAUUGGAAUACUACAGAUCAGAAGAUCAGAUUGCAAAUAUUUUCACUAAGCCAUUGAAGAUCAAUGCUUUCAUCAAGUUAAGAAAUCUGUUGGGUAGGAAGGUUGCUCCAAAUCAGAAUUAAGGGAGGAUGUUGGUUAUUAAUUCUGAUUUUAUUAUUAUUAAUUCUGAUUUUAUUAUGCUUAAACUAUUUUACCGUUAUUAUUGCAUUAAUGGUCAGUUAGUAUUCCUAUUUUAUAACUUCCAGUAUUUGUAAUUUUAUUAUAUAUAUUAUAUAUAUUAUUGAGUAAAUCAAAAUAUAUGAUACCAGCUCAACAGUUUUGCAAUCUUGUGCAAUUACCUUCAAUCAGUUUCUACAACAUUUUGCCUUCUCUUAUUUCCUUCAAUUAGUUCCUACAAAUGAGAAUAUAAUUAAUAUAAUUAUUUAAUAAGAAACUUAUAUACCACCUCAAGUUAUUUUGGAGUCAAAAUAUUAUAGGAAUGGUUAUCAAUGAAUGAUUUACUAAAAGUGGUAAAUUUUCUUGAGGUUUUAUGAAUGUGAAACCUAAAUAUGUAAAUUUUGAUAGUCAAAAGACUAAUCCCUUUAAGAAUUAAUAUAUUUCAAUAAAAGUGAUUGGAUAUGGUUUUAGUUUGGAGUCAACAACUUAAAGAGACUUGUGUCAAUGUGUAAUCUAUUCUAAUCCACAUAGGUUGAACUCCUAUUAAGGAUACAUAAAUUUUUAAUCUGAUCAACAAGCUAAAGAGAUUGUAUUAAAAAUAUUUCAGUAGUCUAACAGUGGUUGCGAAUUCACGUGAUAUGUGUAGCUCUCAAAGUAAAUAACUUGUUUUCCAAGCUAUCCAAAGAGAUCAAUAUACUUGUCUCCCAAGAGAUUUAUUACUACCCAUGUCAUUUAGACACAAAUAUUUAUGAUAUUGGUAAAAUUAAAAAAAAAUAACUUUACCUACAAAUAGUUAAAAUAUUUGAAAUAAGUGAAGUAAAUGAAUAAUAUAAAUUUAUUCAGAGAUUAUUUAUUAUGAUAAACCUAAUUUAUUUUAAAAGAAUAUAUGACUAAUACAUUUUUUACUUACUCAAAUAUAGUUUAAUUUAUUUUAAAAAAAAUCCAAAAGCUAAAACUUUAGAACAUAAUAUUUUAAAUGUUUUACUUUACACGUGUAAUCCUUAACUAUUUAAAUGUUAUACAAUUAUUAUAGAUAUAAUAACUAUUUUAAAGAAAAUAUUUUAUUUAUUUUAUACAUUUUUCUUACAACAACAAAAUAAAAACCAUAGAUAAAUCCCACUCUUUUAGUGUUUUUUUUUUCUUUCUCUUUUCUCAAUUUGCCAAUUUGCCGUCAUUGUUGAAGAUCUCACCCACUAAUCAAAGUCAUAUUUGAUGUGAAUGUUCUCUUCAAUUCAAAGUUUAUCUUAAUAUUAUGCUAAACUUAGACUUAGUCUAAACCUUACUGACUUGAUUUCAACUUUUCUUUAUAUUUCUUCUUUUUAUACAUAACUUUUCAAACUUUUAAUCUUACACAAAAAGCAUGUCAUUCUUCUCUGACAACAUUUUAUUUCAAUUUUUCUUGAUGGUGUGCUUCAUUUGAAAUUUCAUUUUACUUUAUAUUUCAAUUUUGCUCAUAAGUUAUGAUUGGAGUUUAUUCUAAUUUUUUCCAGUGUCUUAAUAUUUUUCCAUAGUGUGUUUGAUUUUUUAAUUUUCUAUGCAAAAAUUAGUGUUAAUAAUUGUGUCUAACUUUUCUUGUACUCUGUCCUUUAGUUUGAAUGCUUCAUCCUCUGUUCUGCUUCUAAUUUUUCUUAUAUUUUAUCCUGUGUUUUGAAUGCUUAAACUUUUACACUUGUUUUAACCUGUUUUGCUAUUAAUUGUUGUUUACUUGUUGUGAUAUAAGGUUUGCGUGAUUAGUUAGUUGAUGGCAUACAAGUAAUGAAGAACUUUUAAGUAACACAGUUAGUUAAUACUCAAUUAUUAAAAUAUUGCAAGACAUUUCUUAAAAGUGUUUUAUGUUUUAUGUAAUUGUAUUUACCUAUAAUGAAGUUGAUAGCGAAAGAAAUAUUUAAUACUUUUUUUUUCUUUUUUUUUUCUUUUGGAAGGAAUCGAGGGAUACAAACUAUAUCUUCAUAUAUGGAAAAUUAAUUUAGUUAUAUCAGUUGCUAAGUGAAGAUCAAGAUCAUUUGUUUAUUAGUGUGUACGUAUUGAUGUGUUUUGGGAUUAUUAAAAUUUGACGUGUUUGAUAAAGAGUGAUUUAUUCAUAAGUAAACUAUGUUUUGGGAUUAUUAAAUUACGUAUUGAUACUUUUAUUUUCGUGAGGGGAAUGCAUGUGCUGAUAAGUUGACUAAUUUAGGGUUCAUUCAUAGAUAAUCAUUUUAUUGGUAUAAUAGACUUCUAUCUAGUAUGUUCUUAGAAUUCUUUAUGAAUAGGUAUAGUCUACCUAUGUAUCGUUUUUGUUAACAUGUGAGUUUUGGUCUAAUCCUCCCAUAUUUUGGUAUUUUUUUUCUUUUUUUUAAUAAUAUGUUUUUCAUGUGAUGGCAGAUGAUUGUUGUUACUUGAGGUGUCAGCCUAGCUGAGAUGUCAAGUUGCAUAAUGAUGUCUAACAUGGAAAAUUUUAUAAAAAAUAAAAAAACAAAAAAAAACUAUGGUUUUUGUUAUUGAGAAAUUGUUUUUAAGAAAGUGUUGAUUACAAAUUACUAUUUUUUUUAAAAAAAAAUUGUUUUGAACAUCGUAACAUCUUUUUAAUGAAAAAUAUUUAUUGCAUAUAGGGGCUUUUAACAAGUUUGGAAUUGAGUGGAAAUUGGUGUUGGUUUAUGUUGCAAGUUGAUGGUUGAAUCAUAUUCAUAGAUAGAGUUGGUACUUUUUAAUAAUGUAAUUUAGUAUAUUAUUGAUAUUUUAAAAUGAUAAAGAGUGUGUGUAUAAUCUCAAUAAUAUAUGAUUUAAAUGUAUUAAAAAUUGAACUUUAAACAUAAAUCAACUUUAAAAAAUCGACUCAUAAGUUAAGGUUUGCACUUACUUAUAUAUUAUGAAAUGUUUUUAUCUUUGGUCGAUGUAGGAUUUUCAACAUUUCCCUUCACGUCAAGAUCUAUCAAUUCGUGUGUGAAACUAUAUAUUUAUAGGUGGUCAGAUAGCAACCGACCUUAUAAGUCUAACAAACUCUCAUUAGGAUAAACUGUAAAUGACUCUAAUACCAUAUUAAGAAGUGAAUUUUAAGCUUAAUUCAAUUUUAUAAAAUCAAUUCAUAAGGUAAUAUUUACACUCACUUAUAUAAUAUGAAAUGUUUUUAUUUCUAGUCGAUCUGAAAUCUCGAACAAAAUGUGAAAAUAUUCAAUUUUACAAGUAUGAUUAUUAUAAUUAUUAAAUAGGAGAGAUAUGAUUAUUAAGAUCUCAUUACUUGUAUUAUAAAAAAAACCCACGAACUAAAUUUUGUAUUGAUAAAAACUUGAGGAUUGUGGUUGAAAAGGCAGAACAAUUGUAAGAAUUAUCUUUUCAAGCAUAAUACAAAGUAUUUCUUUGUAAUUGAUAAAAAUUUAAACUGACACAUCAAAUAUUUAAAUUAUAUUAUUGAAAAUGGGUUCAUAGAUGAUUUAAAGAAGUAUAUGGUACAAGUUGAAAAUUUAAGAGGUUUUAAAGCAAUAAUAAUCAUAAAAUUUGGAGGAAUGACGUCCAUUCAAAAGUGAUAGGAUGAAAAAAGAAAGACAUGUAUGUUGUUUUAAUAGACUUCCACCAACUAAAUAUUUAAAUAUCUCAUCUCAAAAUUCUAUAACAGAGAAUAAGAUUAACAAUUUAGAAAAGAUUUUUAAAAAUCUUUUAUCUUUUCUUUAGAAAACAUUUUUAAAAAUCUUUUAUCUUUUCUUUAGAAAACAUUUUUAAAAAUCUUUUAUCUUUUCUUUAAACAUGAUGAGUGGUAAUUGUUCUUGCCAACAAUGUGGAAUCACAUCUUCAAGGUAGUCUCCGAACAAUCUUUCGGUAUUGUAGUCCUUGAGUGCUUGAAGAUCACCAAGUGAUGAGGGGAGCUCCACUCGUUGACAAGACUUCGACAAUCAAAUCAGUGAGAACAUUAAAUAUUUCAAUGUAGUAUGUAUUGCAUAGAAUAAUACUUGUCUUUGUUUGGGGACUCAUGACCCUUAUAUAGGACUCGUAGAUCCUUUUUUAGGAGUUUGUAAUCAGACACUUCCUUUGAACUUUUAGUUACACGAUUCGAUUUGUUGGACUCGAUCCGACUGACCCGAAAACGUCUAUUGAGUCCGAUCCAUUGGACCGAAAACACCCGAUCCACAUUAUCGGGUUCUACCCCGAUCUUGACUGAACGAUACAGUAAUAUACAAAUUGUAAAUAAAAAAUAAAAAAUAUAGUAAUUACAUUUAAUCAUCUAUAAAAAAAUUUAAUACUAAUAUGAUAUUUUAAAAAGAUAUUUUUUUCGGAAACACUUGAUGAUGAUGGAAGGAUUGAAAUUAUUCUAAUAGUAAUGUUUAAACACAGUAAAAAAAAGUCAAGUGAUAUGAUAAUGAUUGAAAAUUUACUUUUAAAUACAAUUAUCAUUUUUUACUAUAAGAUCAAUUUUUUUAAUGUGAUUACAUAUAUUUUAUAAAUGAUGUGGAUUUUUAUGGCCUGUACACAUCAUUAAUGAGUGAGAUAAUAUGUUUAAUCAUUUGCCAUUUAAUUUUUAGUACUUUCAAUGAACAAAUGAGAUUCAUAUGUAAGAAAUUUAGCAUCGAUUAUGACUCAUAGGACACAAAAUGUAUUUCAUUGAGUUGAGUGUGGUAUUUCAAUACCUAAUUAAUAUUUUUUUUGUCAUUAGUAAUUUGGUAUUGAUUUAAAAUCGAAAUUGUUGUUGACUAUUAAGAUUUAUUUGCUUUUGUAACUAUUAUGUUUUCCUCUUAUAAAUUUUGUUUAUAUUUUAGAUUAUAAAGUUGUUGUAAAACAUUGCAAAAACUUUUCUUAGUGGUUUUUAUCUAGUACAAUCAUUUAUAUUUUAGUGGACUUUUAUUGAAUUGAAUACACCCUACUCCAAUAGCCUAUGACGAGUCACACAAAUUUCAUUUGACAACAAAGAAUCUAUAGGGACAAAAAGUGGAACUUAUAGAGAAUCUUUAAAUUCAAAUUGAUAUUUUGAAUAAGUGAACAAAAAGUUAAACCCAUUUAUUAUAGCCAUUGUUUCCAAAAAUAUUUAAUAGUGAAUAUUUGAGCAAAUAAUGUAGAAUGUAUUAUAGCUAAAGACAAACAUCAUAUUAUUGUUUGGUACACGGAAAAUGUUAUAUUAUCACAAUUAUCGGUAUAUAUUAAUAAAUUUAUUCUCAAAAUUUUAACUAAUAAAUUUAUUCCACCAUUUUAUACAUGGACUAUAAUGAUAGAUUGUUAAAUGCCCUUAAAAUUUUACAUCACACUUUAUAUAGUAAAAAUAUUAUCAUGAUAUCUAUUACAAUGAAAGAAUGACAUAAACAAAAAUAUUUUGGUAUUAAAAUAUUAACGAAAAAUAAUAAAUUAUAUGGUAUUAUUAGUAAAGUAAGGAACUAAAAAUUAUUGAAGUUUUUGUGGAAUAAACUCAUACGGAAUAAUAUGUCAAAAAAAUUAAUUGAACUUAACAAUUGUUUUUUAUUAGCUAUAAGAAUGAAAUUAAUAAAGAUAUAUAUUUUAGAGAUAUAUUAACCUUAUACAAAAUCAUCAUUAUCAAACUUUCAUCUUGCAUUAAGUCUAUAAUGAUAUUAUACUCAAAACAGAUUAAUCAUACUAAAAACCACAACAUAAUCUAUUAAUCCAAACUUCUUAAAAAUGAUGUUCUUCUCAUAUUGAAUAUAUAGUUUUUAUUGAAGUUAAUAGUAACUCAUCAUGAUUAAAAAACAUGUUGUUUAGAGUUAAUUUUGUUUGAUAGACAAUUAUAUCAUCUAACUAUAUUACUUUAUUGUGUAAUUCCACUAUAUUGAUAUAAGUCUCAAUUUGAUGUACGGGAAAAGAUAGAAAAGAAAGAAAUGGGAGGAGUACAUUUGUUUAGUUAAUUAAAAAAGCUAAAUAAAUAUGUUUAAAAAAUUGUGAAACUGUGAAGUAUAUGAUAAGAAAAUCUGAACUUGUAAAUAUUUAUAACUAAAGUCUGCAAAAAGUAUAAAUAUUUUAAUUAUUUAUUUGUUAAAAGAGUGAAUAUGGAUAUCAUGCUAUUUAGUUAGCGAAUGUUCACUGUCCAUUAUUAAUUAUUUUUAUUUGAAUAUAUUUUUUAAUUAAGCAAUUGAGUAAAAUUAUUAACGAGAAAACAUUAAAAAUUGAUGAAUUAUUUAUAACUUAAUUUUAUAAAUGUAUAGUUUUUAUUUAGACUUGUGGAGCUAAAAUUAUCUUCAAAAGAUUAAUUUUAUUUAAAGUUAUAUUGUGAAGAAUUUUUUUAGAAUGAUUAAUUUUUUUCUAAUAAUAGCUUAUGAAACAUUUUUAUUAUAAUUAUACAUUAAUAUCAAUAUUUUAUCUUAUUUUAUUUUAUGUUUUAAAGAAUAAUUUUUAAAUAAUAUUAUUUUCUUAAAAGAAGGAUCCACGUGUAUCUAUUGAAAUAGGCAAGUAUUUUAAAUAACAUUAUAUUUUUUUAGUAGAAAUACUUCUUCAUAAGAUUUAUUUAUAAAUAACAAGUCACUUUAGAUAUGGUUAUCUCCUACUUCCAUAUCAAUGUAGACUCUUAUAUGUGUGACGUCAUUUAUUAUGAACUUGAAAUGUACUAUCUUAAGUGUAUCCUAUAGAAAACACCAUCACAUUCAAGUCAAAUAAUAUAAAAAUUAAGUAAUAAAUGAAUAAUACAUAUUUUGAGAUCUUCACCAUUAACUUUUAUUUAUAUCGAGUAUCGGUGGUUAAAUAUGACUUUAGUAUUGAGUUAAGAUUUUAAUAAUAAAAAUAUAGUGUAAGGGAAAAUAAUGUUAAUAUUUUAAUACUUUUGCGUGUUGAAAGAAAGAAAACAAAUCUAAAAAUAACUAUAGUUUAAACUUCGUUAAUUUUAAUAAAAAGCAUCUUCAAAACCGUAUUUAGUAGUAUAUAUAAUUGUAUUAUUUCCAGUUAUUUAUUUUAUUUUGUAGAUGCUUUCUAAAUUUAAAGGAAGAACCCAGACUUUAACCAAAACAUAUUUCUAUCCAAAAUAAAUGUAUGGUUAUGGGAAAAAAUAGCCUACAAUUGAUCAUACAAUCCAUUCAUUAAAUAAUGGAGUACAAUACAAUGUGCUAUAAUGAACCCAACAACGUCUUGUUCUAGGUUUUGUAUAUUCAGUCAUUGAUUUCUAAAUUUUUAUAUGAAUGUUUACAAUAAUAUUUCAAGGUCAAGUUAGUACUUCCUCCGAAUAAAGAAUAUAAAGUAAAAAAAGUUAAGAAUUCAUUAAUUAAUACUUAGUUUGAAGAAAAAACAUAUAAUAAAAAGUUAUAUAUUUAUUAUUUUCAAUUCACCUAUUUAUAACGGUAUUCUUCUAGUUAAGAAGAAUGUCUUCCAACUAAAGAUUUAGUUUAGUCAAAAAUAGUUAUUUCCAACUAAAUUGUAGUUCUGUCUCAUACCAUCAUCUUCCUCUUUUAUUUAAUAAUUAUUUCUCUAUUAUAGUAUUUGUCUCAUUCUUAGAUACAUUCUUAGAUUAAUUACAAUCUCGCAUAUUCAGUUAAUGUUUGUCACUUUCAAUAAAAAAAAUAAAAAAAAAUUUCAUUAUUUUAAUAAAUAGAUCAAUAUCAUAACCGUUUUCAUCUAUUAUUGGAAUCGACUUAUGAUCUCACAGUUCUCAAAUUCCAACAUAAUCCAAUGAGACUAAUAAGAUCAUGAAGUAAUUAAUUAUAGGAUGUAUCUUAAAUUUUGACUGAAAUCCAUACCAUUGAGGUUGAUGCAAAAGUUCACAUAUACUAUUAUACCUCAUCUAUAGAAAUGAUUAAUUGAGAUCCAAAUAGACUUAGAUGCGCUUAAUCAUAAUUUAUAUAUUGUUUACUUUACUCUACUUAUUAAUUAUAUUAUUACACCCUUAAUUUCACUUUAGAGAUACUUGCAUCAUUCAGUGGUGAGAUGUUGGGAUAUCGAGUGUGAUAUCGACACCUCAUAUAUUCCGGUACAAUGCAUUUGAGGAAAAUAAAAACCGAUCAUAUGUAUAAUUUUUUGUUUUCUUCCAUGCUUGGUUGUCACUUAGGUCAAUUCAGCACGAACCAACAUACUCCAUUUCAUCUUCUCAUAAAUCGAAGACAAUAAUUCCAGGAAAUGAAAAUGGGGUAUGUUAAUAAAGAAAAAAAAUAAGAGAAAAUUGCACAUAAAUAAAAUUCAAUUGAGUUCUUAAAUUACAAUGAUAUUGAAAAGAGUAGAAAUAUAUAGUUAAUUUGGUGAAUAAACAAAGUAGGUUGGAAAAAUGCGAUGAAAGCAUGAUAAGAUAGUUGUGGUUGUCUGUGGAAAUGCGAAACCCCUCUUUCUUGUUUUGUUUUGCACAUAUUUUACAAGCAAAUCCGACAAACAGAAAGAAUUGCAUAAGUCCAAACCUACUGGUAUUAUUUAGACGUUAAUAAUUGCCAGCUUUUGCCAGCUCCUACUUCAUCAUUAAAAUAUAAUUUAAAAAAAUAGACACAGAAACAGUAGUGAAGACUUUGCUCCUCAGUCCCAAAAAAUGACAACGGGAUACACUGGAUUUCCACACUUUCUCACAUGCUCGUCUUUUUCAUUUUCUGCCACGUGUAUUGUAAUGUAGCAAGGUCCCUCUGGUUCCAGCUGCGCAAACCUCACUCUCUUCCUUCAUCAUCAUCAUCAUCAUCAUCUUCUACCACUACAGCCACAAUAAACAUGCAUACCGUAUUUUUUCUUUUCAAAUAUUAUACGUAUACUUUUUGAUAUUUUAUUUCCGUUUGAGUUGAGUAGUUGUUCUCCAUUUGCAACGGUUACCUAAUAUUAUUCUCUGUUUCCAUCUACCCCAUUAUCAACUACGUAUUGCAUAUAAAACAUUAGCGAUAAUGAAAGAAAGGGUCAUGUAUCUGCUUUCUCAAUCAUUAAUGCAAAAUUACCGAAUUUAAUGAUGUUACCAUUACGAAUGGAGAAAGGGUCAAACCAAAAAUAAAAAGUGCACCUUUUCAACUGGCGGACAAAGGACGAGACACGAGUGGCAUCAACGCGGGUAAAGCACCCCGCGUUUUACUACCAGACGGAACCCAUCAACGGGCUAUAAAGGACACACGUGUGAGUUCUAGAUCAACGGUCAAAACACAAGGGCACUCUAGUAAUAUCGUUAAACGACUUUAUGAGUUGUUGAAAAGUUAUGGUCUUUCCGAGGAAAGAAAAAGUAAAAAAUAAUAAUAAAAAUGGAUUUUUUUUCAUUAUUUUCAUAGUACACAUUUUGUUUUCAUUAAUGGAAUUUUAAAUUGUAUUAUUUUUUGUUGUUAGAACAAACAGAGGGCUAGAGUGAAAAUAAAUUUAACGGGGAGAGGAGAGAGAGUGGGAAGCAUAUGAGAAUAGGAAGAUGGGUGGAAAAAACGCCGUACAGAGGGGUGGCGGAUGACAGCGACUGCUCACUGACCCACAUAACUGACACGUGUCCUGACGCAAAAGGGUGUGGAGGUAAUAUUGAGCAAGCAUAAUGGAGAAAAAGGCAAAGAAGGAACACACAUUAACAAAAAUCAAUUGGGCAGAAGAUCCACAUAUGCCAGCUAAUAUUUUGCACAUUUACAGAAAGAGAGGAAAAAUUGUAGUAGAGGCGGAAGAAAGUUGAAAUGAAGAUAAAAUAAAAAAAAAGAAUAAAGAAUAAAAAAGUGGGAAUGGAGAGUUAAGUGUUGACCCAUUAUUAUUACUCACAUCACACCGGCCUGACCUAGUCCAGGGUAUUAGGGAAGAUGAGGAAUGGGGACAGGCAGCAUAGAAGGAGUAGAUGCACAUCACAACAUAUAAAAAUAUUAAUAUAUAUAGUAAGGUUGGGAAAAUAAUGAGAUAAAAAAAAUUGUGUGUGAGCAUAUAGAAGGAAAUUAAAUUAGGACAUUGGAGUUGGAGGAAUCUUUGAGCAUUAUUGAUGCAUUAAUCGCCACUCCUUCAACGGUUCAUAUCUUACCUCUUUUUAUAUAUUCUGUUCCCUUAUCAUCUUCCACUGCUCAACUCUCUCUCUCUCUCUCUCUAACACAAGCUUCCGUUUUUCUGUUUCUCUUCUCUCUACUCAGAACAUGGGUUCUUCUGCAGUACAAUUGUUUCUCAUCUUGGGGCUUCUGGCUACUUCUUGCAUAGCACAAGCCCCAGGUGGCGCACCCACGCAGCCUCCCACAACCACCCCACCACCACCGCCCGCAGCAGCACCAGUACCUGCACCCACUGCACCCGCAACUCCACCACCAUCUUCACCACCACCUGCACCCACACCCGCACCCACACCAACUGCUCCCACUCCUGCUCCAGCUUCUUCUCCUUCAUCUGCUGCAUCUCCCUCAGCUGAGUCACCAGGCUCUCCUACAUCUCCCCCAGCACCACCGGCCCCCUCAUCUGCACCUUCACCCUCAGUCAGCGAACCACCACCCUCACCCUCCUCCGCAUUCUCCGUUGGCAAGGCCUUCGUUGCCGGGUCUGCGCUCGCGGGAACCUUCGUAGCCAUGGUCUUGGCUUGAAGACAGACCUGACGGUUGGGAUUCGUCCACGUGGAGGCUCUUGGGCCCUUGAUCUUGUUUUACAGCGACGGACGGACGGACGGGAUCUGUUUCAUUUAUUUUAUCCUCUGGUCUUGUUGAGUAGCGGUUUUCUUUUUCUCUCUUUGGGGUUUUAUGUGUUAGUUUUGUUCGUUCGUGGUUGAUGUGUUUGUUGAUUCGAUAUCUGGGAGGGUUGGGUGUUGAUGAUGAUGAUGAUGAUGAUGAUGAUGGUGAUGGUAUUCAUGAUUAUGAUGAUUAUUUUGUGAUUCAUUGUUCUGGUGUUCACACGUGUACGUAGAUGACCUUGAUGAUUUCAUUGUACAUCUAAUAAUUGAAAGAAUAAAACAGUUUGUCAUUCUUUUUACUUACAAUCUUGUUCC